rnacentral:lncRNA from 1 species
GGAAACAUGAAAAGGCUCAGAAACGUAGGGAAGGACAAGUUCAGAAAAUUAAGAAACCAAGUGGUCCUUAUGGUGGAGAAACUACAGGAAUUAAUGUUGGUAUUAGUCGAAGUAUCCGAUUUAAGGGAUAAAAGUCGCGUGAUAUGUGGUUUAAGCACACGUCUCAAAGUUCAAGUGCUUCAAUAGACAAAAGCUUAGUAUUUAAGUGGAGAAUGGUAAAGUUGUGUACCCGUUAUUCACCGAGUUCUAAACCUUGCAUCACACUGGCCCUCGGGAAUUUCUCGGUUAUGAGUAAAAAGUGUAAAGAGUUGAUAUUCUCUUAUUGUUGUUAAAAUCAGUCUUUCCUUCUUACUUCCAAUUUUGUUAUCCUUGGAAGAGGGGAGUGGAAAGGCAUAUAUAUAGAUGGAAUGUGAACUGCUUCUGUUUCUUUUAAGCUUUUUUAUUGUCUAUGUUGUGUUGAUGUCAACUUGCAUACUUUUGUAAUGGCUAGCUUAUAAUUUUCUUGUUUUCUAUCAUAAGCUAUAUAUCAAAACACUUCUUGAAGUUGAUUGGACCAUGUAUUUGAUUAGAAUCGUCAAAAAGUGCAUGACAACUUAAUUUAUUCAUAAAAUUUCGUCCAUAUAACGACUGAUUCAUUAAUUUCAAGAUGUGUUAUGAUUAAUAAUUAUUGAUAAUUCAAAUUAAAAAACGCAAAUACCAGAUAGUUUAGGUAGAAAAUUUACAAAAAAUUGAUACUUCUAAUAUAUUUUUCACCAUAAUCUUUUAAUUAUUUACAUGGACUGCCAUUUAGUGCCAUUUUUAAAUUAAAAAAGAGAGUAUACAUUACACAUCAUCAGAGUAAUAAGGCAAAUAUACUUUGAUAAAUGGUUGAUGAUAAUUAUGAUAGAAAAUGUGUCUGAAUACUUCACUAGCUAGAAUGAAAUAGACAUAUGACACCAUAUUUUGAUCUUGUUUAACUAGCAAAUUUUGUGGUAACAGCUCGUGUUUGAGUGGAAAAAAGAGGGAAAACAACUCUUAUGGUAACAACUCAUGUUCGAUUUCUCCAUGGAAAGUAAGGAAAACAAGUUCAUUAUAUUCCACAUUGAUUGUCUUCUCCACGCCCUUACCCUCCAUCCUCAUCACUAAUAGUAUAUGCUUGAAUUAUACACAAACACUUUUAAAUAUUAUUUCUGCUUAAAAAACACAAAAAAUCAAGUUUAAAAACAAACUUAUUUUUUGUAAAAAAAGACAAUUUUUAACACAUUUGGUUAAAAUUUAGUAACUCCACAAAGACAUGUCAAUAUCAUGAGGUUCCAUGCCAUAUGUACAUUGAGGAGGAGGUAGCAUUAGUCCUUCGGCCAUAUUCACAAGUAAUUCCGGCAUGUAGAAAAUGGCCUCUUCAUCCAUGAACAACUCAUUAUAUUCCGUAAACUUUGGAACGACGAUGUCUUGUAUGACUUGUUCAUCAAUGGUAACUUCCUCGGAGUUUUCUCCCUCCGAGGAUUUUGAAGGGCAAAAUGCUUCAGUGGCUGCCUUGGCGGCCACUGAAGCAGGAAUAGGUAAUCUCCAAGUUGAGUCAAUGAGAUAUUGUGUGAUCAGUUGGUCAUCAUUAAUGAUUACUUCCUCAGAGUAAUUUUCUCCCUCUGAGGAUUCUGAAUGGCAAAAUGCUUCAGCGGCCGCCUUUUGAAUAUGCUUGGCGGCCGCUGAAGCAGAGAUGGAUAACCUCCAAGUCGAGUCAACUUCCUCAAAGUAUUCUCCCUUUGAGGAUUCUGACGGACGAAAUGCCUCGGCUGCUUCAGCAGUUGCCUUCUGAAUAUCCCUGGCUGCUGCUGAAGCAGGGAUGGCCAACCUCCAACCUGAGUCAACAACAUAAUGAUCAUCAUUAUUAACAACAACUUCCUCAGAGUUUUCUCUCUCCAAGGAUUCUGACGCACGAAAUGUCUCAGUUGCUUCAGCAGCCGCCUUUUGAAUAUCCUUGGCGGUUGCUGAAGCAGGGACAGGCAACCUCCAAGCCGAGUCAGCAAAAUUCAAACAAGCUGACCGGCCUUUAAGAGCCAUGACCGCCACGUCAUGAGCUCUAGCUGCCAUUUCUGCAUUGGGAAACGUGCCAAGCCAUAUUCUUGACUUUUUACCAGGUACUCUCACUUCACUAACCCACUUUUCGAAAUUCUUCCACCUCACUCCCCUAUAAACCGGGUGUCUAGUUUCACGAAACUUCUUCCUACCUCCACGUUUUUUUGGGAUUUUCGAAGCUAGUAACAACAUGACUUCUUCAUUACUAUUAUUAACAAACUUAAUUUGAUGAGGUAGUAGUUGGUAUAACUAGAGAAAGUGGAUCAAUAUAGAAGUUACCAAGAAUGUCCAUUCUUGAAAAUAAUGAAAUAGGAAAUGAAAGUGUUUAUAUGAUAAGUGAGUACUGUUUGGAUAGUAUAUAUUUAUAUAUAUAUAUAAUAAUAAUAAUAAUAAUAAUAAGAAGAAGAAAAAUAGCUUACAGUUGAGACACGAAGGAACACAGAGUGUUAGCAGGAGACAGGCUGCUAAUAAGUACUAUGGUGCCUCCACCAGUAUACGUUCAUUUUUACUCGUUCAUGUUUGAUUUGACAUAUUUAUAAGAGAAUUUUAGUGUUAGACUUAACUACAUUUUAUUCAUACUUUUUUUCAGAUUACAAAAAUUCCUUAAAUUUGGUGGAAUCCGUAUACAUUCUAAAAUGUCCCGAUACAUCGCGUUUCGAUUUCGAAUACAUCGCUCAACAUCCUAAUACAUCGUGUCUCAAUUUUGAAUACAUCACACAACGUUCCGAUACAUCGGGUACGUCCGGAUACAUCGCGUAAAGUGAUGUAUUAGAAAAUAGGAGCGAGCAAUUUUUUUAAAUGGUGGGAAUUUUUAGAGAAUAUGGUAAAAUAAGUCAUGUAUUUAGGUAAUUUUUCUUGUUUAUAAUUAACUCAAUCCGUCUAAUCCAUUCAUGUUUGGGCAGGUUAUGAAUCUGCCUAUCCAUUUAUUAGCUCAAGUUUAUUUCAGUCCAACUCAUUUCAACUCAUUAAAAUUGGGUUAAUUUAUAGCUCAAAUUGACUCACGCCAAAUCUUAUCAAAAUAUUUUUUAAAAUAUGUAUUUUUGAUUCGAUAUGCUAUAUAAUAAUAAUUUUACUAGGUACUAAAAUUUGAUAAAAGAAUAAAUAAAGCAAUUAAAUUGGACAGGUGAGUUAUAACACACAUUUUAGCUUAUUUUCAUCCCAAUCCAUUUCAACUCAAGUAACUUUUGAGAAUUGGGCGGGUUACUAACUUGUCCAUUUACUAAUUCAACCCAUUUUGAUCCACAUAAAUUUAGCUCAACAUGUCCAUUUGACACCUCUAAAUGUUUGAAUUAGUAAUGCUAUAAUAUUAGUUAUGUUGAGAUUAUUUCUUAUGCAAUAUAUGAUUGGUGUAUUAAAAAUAACAUGCAUUGUAUGAUUUCUAUAAAAAAUAGAUUUGUUUACAUACCCUCCACAAAUAUGAUAAAAAGAAUGUGGAAAAGAUUUUGAGGAAUAAUUGUGUCUUUAAUCAAAGUAUCAAACUAAUGCAUGCAUUAAAAUCUUUGCAUUACUAUUAAUAUAAAUUUUCAUGUAUUAGUUAUUUAUAACUUAAUACUCCCUCCGUUCAUUUUUAAUUUUCGCAUAUUUUUACUUAUACAUAAUUAAGAAUGUAUUAAUUAUCAAUGAGUUCCAGCAGAAGGACUGUCUAGGCAUCCCCAUUUUCACACCCUAAAACCUCUACUGUGAACAAAUGAAUGAAUGGGAAUAUCAUCGAGAAAUAUGACGAGAUGAAUAAAUAAAAUAAAUAUUUUAAAAUUAAAAAGUUAAUCGAAUCAAUAAACAACACCAAAUGAGAGGGUCAGUAUUAUUAUGGUUUCCCCAGGAAGUGUGUAAAAUGUGCUACCAAUUAUAUUUUUCAUUCAUUUUUAUUUAUUCGUGUAUUAAAUUUUGCAUGUAUCUUAAUAAAUAAUGGUUAAUAUGAAUAUUUUAUUAUUAACUCUUGAAAAAUGAUUUGUAAAAUAAGUAAUUAAUGCUAGCUGAGUGUAAAAUUGAAAAAAAUAAUUAUUACUAUCUUUUUUUAUAUAAUAAAAGUGAUAAGUAAAAAUGAAAAUUUAUUUUUGAAAUAGUGGACAAGUAAAAAUAAACAGAUCGGAGAUGUAUAUGUUAUGAAGUUGGAAAUUGGAUUUUUUAAGUUUGCUAGUUGCUACUCCCUCUAUUCCAUGUUAGUUUUCCACCAUAUUAUAAAUACAUUAAUUAUUCCAAAUUACUUGACAUUACAAAAUCAAAAUAAAAUUAAGGGAUAAGGGUCUGAAAAAUACUCCAAUUUUGACCGAACUUGCUGUUACGAUACCAAACUUCAAAAAGGACCUUUUACCCUAUGUAUUAUUUAAUAGUACCUUUUACCCCCUGUACUAUUUAAUAGUGUAUUUUAAAGGUAUAUAUGUGCCCACGUGGACACAUUAUUAUUUAAAAAUGAUGCAAUAUUUAUGAUGUUCACGUAGACACAUAUAUACCUUUAAAAUACACUAUUAAAUAGUGCAGGGGGUAAAAGGUCCUCCAUAAAGUUUGGUAUCGUAACAGUAAUUUCGGUCAAAGUUGAAGUAUUUUUCAGACCAUUAUCCCUAAAAUUAAUUAUUUUUUCUCAUUAGACUCUAACAAUUUAUUUUUAAAAGUGUAAAUAAAUUUGCUAGGUUAGAAGCUUGAUCUUUAAAAAAAAAAAAAGAUAAUGAUUUUGAGAACCUAUUUGGAGUAGCAUGUUGAAUUUUGACCUAUUAUCUUUUGGGAUAUCGUGCAAAGUUGUAUAUAUAAGUUGAACUCUUUUGUUUAUUUAUAAAAUGGGCUAACCCAUCGGUGGCCCCCUAAAUUUGGCACGAUUUUUCACUUAGACACCUUAACUAGACUUUGUUCAUUUUAGACACCUCAUGUCAUGCCCAACUGUGUCAUUUUGACACUUUUUCGACAAUCUGCCAAAUUUGUAAGGUGUGUGUAACACACUCGCUGAUGACGUGUCAAAGUGACGAAUUAAAUAAAGACACGUGGCAUAUAUAUAAAAAAAAAUUAUUAAAUGAUGAAUCUUGAGUAGGAAAAAAACUACCAAUGACUCAUUGACAUGUGGCAUUUCUUUAACUAANNNNNNNNNNNNNNNNNNNNNNNNNNNNNNNNNNNNNNNNNNNNNNNNNNNNNNNNNNNNNNNNNNNNNNNNNNNNNNNNNNNNNNNNNNNNNNNNNNNNNNNNNNNNNNNNNNNNNNNNNNNNNNNNNNNNNNNNNNNNGUGAUUAUGAUGUGAGAAGGCAUACAAAUGGAUUGGAACGCUAAAAUUGUUUGUUGUGAAUGUAGGAUUUGAUAAUUGAAAAUAUGAUUUCUUGCCAUUUCUGAGUGUUUUUUUCUUCUUGAAAUUUAUGUUGAUUUUCUCAAAUUAUUUUGAGGAGGAAGAAGGACAACAAAAUAAGUGAAAGUAUUUAAGCUUAAAAUUUAUGGGCGCUAGAAUUCACUUUUUGUUUGUGACAUUGUCAAAUUUAUUUCACCAUGUUUAAGUUUGGAAAAUGGUAGCCAAAAAAUGGGGAAGAAGAAGAAGUAAAAAAAAAUUAAAAUUUGGUAAAAUGAGGCUCUCACGCGCGUCUAGUGAGUGUAUCACACUUGCUAUGCCAUCUCAGCAGAAAGUGUCAAAUUGACACAGUUGGGCGUGACAUGAGGUGUCUAAAAUGAACAAAGCCUAGUUCAGGUGUCUAAGUGAAAAAUCGUGCCAAAUUUAGGGGGCCACCGAUGGGUUAGCCCUUUAUAAAAUAAUUGAUAUCAGAAUAGACCGAUCAACAAUAAAAAUUUUAAAUUAAUCAAAUCAAUAAAUUUCGAAUGUCAAAACUAAAAGAAAAGAGGGAAGAAAAGGGUCAUUUUUUUCUACGAUUGCCCCACGGUAAAGUGUGUACAACGUGCUACUAAUUAUUUUCAUGAGUAAUUAUUUUCAUUUUUCUUAUUUUCUUCAAAUGUCCCCUUCAAUGGACUUAACUUUUAUUUAUUUUUCAACUUUCAUAGACUUAUUAAUAGUAGGAAUUUGGUAAGGUCUCUUUCAUUUUCCAUAGUUUGUUGACUAAAUUAUUCUAAAUUUCCAUGUAACACGAUUUUUUUAAAAAAAAAUUAUGUUUGAUAUUUACUUUGAAUUCCACUAAUUCGAAGUCACGUAAAAUAAUUUUUUUACUUUGAGAGAUAAGGAUAUGAUAGUAACAUUAUUAUAGUUUAACGUGAAAUACUCAAACUUGUUAUAUGUUAGAAAUUAUAUAUAUGAUAUAAUGUGUUAACACAUAUAGUUAUGAGAUUUUUAUAUAUGAAUAAUCAGUUGGAGUUACCACAUGCCUUUUUGGUCGAUAUAUAUAAAUUAUACAUUAAAUAUAUAUAGUUAUACACACAUUAUAUAUGGAUUAUGCAAAAUUAUGGCUUACUCCAAUUGAACGUUUGAAUAGGUGAUAAAAUAUUUAUAUUAGACACUUUUGACUCAAAUUUUGUAAAAAUAAAUAGAUUUGUGUGCGUUUUCAAACGUCGAAUGUGUAUAUAAUUAAUAACAUAAAAUAUGUUUUAUCUUUUAAUUAUACAUAUCAAUAUUAAUUGAAAAAAGCUUGAGUUUUAUGACUUAUUUAGUCAAAUGCUUAUAAUUGAAAAAACUUAGAUAUUUUAGAUUAUUAACUUAUCUAUAUAAUGGACGCGUGAGGACGCGUGCAAAAGUUUUUUAAAAUUUCAAUUGGAAGUAUCUAAUAAGAACACUUUAUCGUGUGUUAAGGUUCUCAAUUGAAACAUGACGUAGUUCGACUAUCUAAAUGAUAUUUACUGACAAGUUUACGAGACAAUCAUUAUAUUCAAAAUGAAAAAAAAUUUAAUCAGGUCACUCAUGUGGGUCAAUCAAGAUCUAUAUAAAUAAAAUAAUUAAUAUGUAUUUAUUAUAUAUCUAAUAUUUACAAAAAAAGAAAGAAGGGAAAACAAUGGUUACGAACACACUACAAGAAAUCAUAAUUGUUGUCACCAAAUAUUAGCUUUUGUGAUUGCAUUAUAAAUGGUCUCUAUUUUAAGUUUCACCAUUAUAUUCUUGAAUGUUUCUAUUAAGAGUUACUAUUUUGAUAAUUGUUAUUUUCCUAACUGUUUUAUAUCUUUUAGUAAUUAUUAGUGGAGAUUCAAUCUCAUUAUGCUAUAAUCUAAGGCUAAUUUCAAAUAUAUACAAUAAACUUAUUAGUUUACAAUAAAUAUAAUUGUUUUCUAUUUAUAUAAAAAAUAGUCAAAAAUAAUAUAGCUUGCCAAAAGUCAUAAAAAGGAUACACUGACUAUACAAUAUAUCUCACAUAUACAUGAGUUAUACAUUGACUAUACAUUAUGAUACACUCAAAAAGCUUAAUAUAGGUUAACUAUCCAUUAAGUAUAUAAAAACUAUACAUGAAGUAUACUACUAUUCAAUCUCGAUCAACUGAAAAUCACAUCUAAACAGUACAAAAUUUUACGGCUUGUUGAAUCUAAUACUGUAGUUAGAAAAAUGUUACAUAUUUUAAAUGAUUAACUUAUCUAUAUAAUGGGCGCUUGAGAACGCGUGCAGAAAUUUUUCAAAAUUUCAGUUGGAAGUAUAGUAAAAACACUCUAUCAUGUGUGUUAAGGCGUGCUCAAUUAAAACAUGACCUAGUUCGACUAUCUAAAUGGCAUCUACUGGCAAGUUUACAAGGCUAUCUAUGUAUUCAACAUGAAAAAAUUUGAAUCAGGUCAUUCAUGUGAGUCAAUUCAGAUCAACUUAAAUAGAAUAAGCAAUAUGUAUUUAUCAUAUAUUUUAUAUUGUCUCUAUUUUGAGUUUCACUAUUAUAUUUUUGAUUGUUUCUAUUAAGACUUACUAUUUUAUAAUUGUUUAUCUUCCUCACUAUUUUAUAUAUUUUAAGUAAUCAUCAAUGGAGAUUUAAAUCCACUAUAAUUGUAACACAUCGCUAUUUGAAAAAACUAGAAUUAGAAAGAAACUAUUUUUGGAAAGAUUAAAUUUGGAAAUUUUGGCAAUUUAUGCUAAGUAUGAGUUUUGGGUCAACUUCAAAUGACCAUAACUCUCAGUACAGGAUGGUUAGGUGGGCUAUAAGAUAUAACAUGAAAGGUCUUGGAAUCAUCUUUCAAACGCCACUAAGUUUGCUAAUUUUCGAGCUUGAAUUUAAGAGGGGUAUUUUGGUCUUUUUCUUAUCCAAUUAAGUUAUUUCAUUUUUAGUAAUUAAUCAGGAGUCUAAACUGAAUUGGUUCAGUUUACACACUCAAAUUUCACGCUAGGGUUUUUAGAGAAAAAAGUCAAGAGGAGAAAGGAGGAGAAAAAGUCAAGAUUUCAUCAAGUUCUUGAAGGUUUCGUUGCGGAUUUCGCCACGGGUUGAUCCCUAAGAGGUAUGUGAGCUCACAUAGCGUUGGGUUCGUUCACCCACACGCCAAUCAUAUUAAUUUCAGCGUAUUUCCGUCCUAAAAAGUUGAAGAUUUGAUGUUCUUGAGUUGUGUUCUUGAAAUUGCCUUCAUUCUUGAAUUUGGAUGGGAUUGAUGAGUUUCUUGAGAUAGUCUUAUCGAUUUCAAGAGUUGUUUUGAGUUAGAUUCUUGGGUACAUGUAUUAGGUAACCGAAUCUAAAGAUAAAUUGAGAAAAAGAAUCGAAUUUAAUCGAAUUAAGAUCAGAAAACGAGUUGAAAAAUUCGUCGAGGUUGCCUGGGGAAGGUCUGGCGUGGCGUUCCCCAGAUGCGCCAAAAGGAUUGGGGCGGCGCGCCAACAGUGCGCCACAAAGUAGUCUCUGAACUUUAGGGGCUGGCGCCCCGUGCCAGCAAUGUGCUGGGGUCGCCUGCCCCCAUCCGUUUUCCGUCGUUUAGCUCGUCUGAGUCCUUAUAAAAUGUACUAAUACUUUCUAUCGAUUCUAACUACUCUAAAUGACUUCUAAACAUCUAGAAAUCAUCCAUAAACAUGAAUCAUAACCUUGAAUCCAUAAAUUCAAAUUCAAGGAAAGUUAAGAGCCAAGUCUAGAGAGUUCUUAGAGUUUUUUCAAAAGUCUUUUACAAAUGUUUUAAACUUGUUUUAAGACUUGAGCGUUUAGUUGAGUAACAGUAAGAGUAAUAGUAAGAGUGAAGUUCAUUUUCUUAAAAGAUUAUAUUGGAACUAAGUAUUCCCAAAGAGUAAAUGUUUUCACAUCUAAACAAGAGAGGAACCACCGAUUUCCAAGAGAGUUUUUGAGCUAGUUUUUGAGUAAUAAUCUCAAACCACAGAGAAAGAGUGGGAGUAGUAUUGAGCACCGAUAUAGGGACGAGUUCAUAAUAACUCAAGUCUCCAUAAACCAUGUAGCCAACGUGGGUAGAAAUGAUCAUACUUUUUAGAUGAUUCCUUAAUGCUUUUAAGCAUAGCUUAGUGGAUCCACUUAGUUGAGGCGUUCUAUAUCCCGACAAGUUAUAGGACAGUUCUGGCAGCGUGGGUGAGACACUGUAUCAUCACAUAGCUCAUAGUGAUGGUUAUCGGUUAGAGAAUCUCCCAAAUAGAGUUUAUUUUUGUAUUCUUAUAUACAACUGAGAUAUUAUUGUAUUUUCCAAUACUUUGAGAUGUUAUCUACUAUUUUAAAUGUUUUAUAUGAACUGCAUCUUUAUUGUUGUUUAUUUCUGCAUUGAGUUGAGUGUCCAUGAGUUGAGUAAAGCUGAGGUAAGAGUUUUUUUCAGAUUCCAGUUCAAGCGCAUGUGUUGUUUAGAUUUCUCCUCACAUGCUCGUACAUUCAAUGUACUGAUGCCAUUUGGCCUGCAUCAUUUUAUGAUGCAGAUACAAGUAAUCAGGAUCAACAUUCAGCGCUUCGUUGAUCCAGUUGAGCAUUUCAAAGUCUUUUGGUGAGCCUCCUUGCUUUUCAGAGGAUAUUUUUUUAUUGCUUUGUUAUUUCAGUUGUUAGGAUGAUCGGGGGUCUUGUCCCGACAUCCCCUCAUAGUAUUAGAGGCUUCAUAGAUAGUUAGACAUCAGUAGUUCAUUAGUCUUAUGCAUUUUAGUUGUUUUGAUUGUAAGACUUGAGUUUCCUUAAUGGCCAGUUGAAUGUUUCUUUACAAUCUUCUAGUUAUUUCAUGAAUUUAUCUUGUUGAGUAAAGUCUUCCGCUGAGUAGUAAGCCAGGCCAAUGUUUCGCUUGGGGCCAACAAUGGUUUUCGAGUGCCAGUCCAACCCAGGGUGUAGGCUCGGGGUGUGACAAUAAUAUACUCUAUAACGAAUCAUCAGUAUAACUAUUGAUUUGUCAUCUUCUCGUAUAACUCAAACAAUUUUUGAUUAAUUGAAGAGUCUAAAGCUCUACCAAAAGAAUAUUUUCCUUCAAAAUAUAAUUACUCUCUUUUGUAUAGUGAAUAAGCUGAAGACUUAAAAUAUUUUUUUGUCUUAAUUAUCUCUACACUAACCUCAAAAUAUAAAUACAAUAUAAUACUUUUCGUCCACAUCUAAUCUCUUUUCACUAUUCAAUACAAGGAAGAAUACAUCCUUUAUGUAGGUGUAUAAUUUAUUCCACACACGAAUGUAGAUAAUCAUUUGAGGAAUAGUUGGGCUAAUUAAUAAAGAUAACGAGAAGAACAUGUCAUUGUGGCUACAUUAGUUACAAUAAAACUUAUAUAUAUUUAAUUAUUUUCAUUUAUUUAUUUGUAAAAUAUUCAUUUCCCUCUCCACUUUAUUUUUUAAAUAUUUUUUUGUCUUUUCAUUUUAAAUUAUUUUGAAGAAAUUAUGUAUAUUUUAUAAUAACAAAAUCUUUUUUGAAAAAACAUUGUCAUUUUAUUUUUAACGUUUUUAAAAAAUAUUUUAUAUGAUUUUCUUCACUUAUUUUUACAUCCAUCUGAGAUUAAAUUAUUUUAAGUAGAAGACAUUUGGAAGUAAAUUUAAAACCAAAUCAAAAGGAAAGACAAAGAAAAUAAAAUGAAUAAAUAAAAUCAAUAAUAAUAAAGAAAAAGAGAGAGAAAAAACAAUGAAUGAAGUUUUAAAAAAUUAAAUAUAAGGCAAUUUUUUUUUUUUAGAAAAUCCUUGUAGUAACUUAAUUUAAAUACAAGAUAAAGAAAAUAACAAGAUUUUUUAUAUAUAAAAAAACAAUAUAUAUCUAUCAUAUAUUUAAUAUUUACAACUAAAAAUAAAGGGUAAAGAAUGUUAUAUCUCUGAUCCAAUUAACUAGUCACAUGCUGUAAAUCGCAUUCAUCGUAAAUCGCAUGUGAUGAAUGCGAUUUAUGCGUUAAAAUAAAGCAUAUCUAUUGCAACGAUAUUUAGUGGCGGUUCAACUUAUGGCCACCAAAGUAUUAUUUUCCUUUUUUUUUUUGACUUUUUAUCCGGAGUCCAGUAUCCAUAUUAGAGCCUACCUAAAUUUGAAUUUGCUUAGUAAAUCUCAUGUUGGUAGGUAAAGUUCUCCCAAAGUAUUACUUUUUGCUAUUGCAUUAUAUGUUGUCUCUAUAUUCAGUUUCAUUUCAAUAUUUUAUUAAUUUUAUUAGAAUAUGAAAAAUACUAUUUUUAUAAUUGUUUAUCUUCUUCACUAAUUUGAUUGCAUAAUUUUAUUUAUAAAAAUAUCGUUAAGUAAUUAUUAAUGGAGAUUCAAGUCCACUGUGACAUAAUUUACCUCAACAUGACAGCCAAACUCCACUUUUGCUGUUGCCAGGUGGAAUGAUUCAUUCAACCUCGGUAUCGGCAACCAAGACACCCUUCUCUGUUGAAUGAAUCUUCAAAUCAUCAUCUUCAAACCACGACUCCAAUCACGGUUUCCAGUUGACUUUAUCUCAGGCGACGGGGGCAGGAGAACACUUCACAAAAUGCGCUAUGACAACAUUGUAUAACUCACACAAUUUCAGAUUAGUUAAAGCUCCACCAAAAGAACUCUUUCCUUCGGCAUAUAGUUUCUCUUUUUGUAUAGCAAACAAGUUGGAGACUUAGAUUUAUUUUCCUUGUUUCAACUAUCUCUUUCGCUACACUAACCUCAAAAAGUAAAUAAAAUAUAAUACUUCUCAUCCACUUCUAAUCUCUUUUCACUUUUCAACCCAAGUAAAAAACAUCCUUGAUACAAAUGUAUAAUUUUUGAGAAUUAGUGGAGCAAUUAAUAGGAGAUAACGAGGAGAACAUAUUAUUGUUACAUGAGUCACAAUAGAUCAUGACACAACUUUCUACACUUUAUGCCUACUAAUUAUCGAGCAUUUAAUAUUUUAAUUUCUAAUAUUAAAAUGCAUAAUAAUACCAACACAAUUUUUUUUAUUUUUUAUAUAUAUAUAUAUGUAUAUAUAUAAAUGUAAAAGUGGUGUAUACAGGGGGGUGGNNNNNNNNNNNNNNNNNNNNNNNNNNNNNNNNNNNNNNNNNNNNNNNNNNNNNNNNNNNNNNNNNNNNNNNNNNNNNNNNNNNNNNNNNNNNNNNNNNNNNNNNNNNNNNNNNNNNNNNNNNNNNNNNNNNNNNNNNNNNNNNNNNNNNNNNNNNNNNNNNNNNNNNNNNNNNNNNNNNNNNNNNNNNNNNNNNNNNNNNNNNNNNNNNNNNNNNNNNNNNNNNNNNNNNNNNNNNNNNNNNNNNNNNNNNNNNNNNNNNNNNNNNNNNNNNNNNNNNNNNNNNNNNNNNNNNNNNNNNNNNNNNNNNNNNNNNNNNNNNNNNNNNNNNNNNNNNNNNNNNNNNNNNNNNNNNNNNNNNNNNNNNNNNNNNNNNNNNNNNNNNNNNNNNNNNNNNNNNNNNNNNNNNNNNNNNNNNNNNNNNNNNNNNNNNNNNNNNNNNNNNNNNNNNNNNNNNNNNNNNNNNNNNNNNNNNNNNNNNNNNNNNNNNNNNNNNNNNNNNNNNNNNNNNNNNNNNNNNNNNNNNNNNNNNNNNNNNNNNNNNNNNNNNNNNNNNNNNNNNNNNNNNNNNNNNNNNNNNNNNNNNNNNNNNNNNNNNNNNNNNNNNNNNNNNNNNNNNNNNNNNNNNNNNNNNNNNNNNNNNNNNNNNNNNNNNNNNNNNNNNNNNNNNNNNNNNNNNNNNNNNNNNNNNNNNNNNNNNNNNNNNNNNNNNNNNNNNNNNNNNNGUGAUUUGAAUAAUAUAAAAUUGACUGAUUUGUGGAAUUUAAUACUGUAAUAUUUAUUCAUACUUUGUAUAUAUAUAAUAAUAAUAAUAAUAAAUUCACUAAAUAUUUAAAUAUAAAUCAAUUAUUAUUCGUAUUAUUAUUACCUUGUAUAUAUAAUAAUAAAAAAAUUACUAAAUAUUUUUAAAUAUUUAAAUAUGAUCCAUAGUUUGCAUCAAAUUUAACUUGUGAAUUUGGUAGACUUUGGUAUCAGAAUGAGAUAAAUAAAGUUAUUCUAUAAAUAGAGAUAUUUUAUGAGAUUAAUUGUCCACAUAUAAAAUAUAAUAACUGAUCCCAUCAUUAUAGAAUAAAUGAUGAGGUAAAUAAUCUCAGAACUAAUAAUUAAUAUCCUUAAGACCUUAACUAAAUAAAGAUAAAUAAUCUUACAUUUUAUUCCAAAACUGUCAUCCUCAUUCCUCAUACCAAACCAGCUCGUUUGAUACGUGAGAUAAGACAUAAAUAAUCUCAAGAUUCAUUUUAAGAUGAGUUCAUCCCAUAUUUAAUUGUAGUAAAGUCGUAGGAUAACUAUCAAAAGUAAAAUAACAAUUUCGAAAUAACUAAUCUCGAUAUUACUUAUUCCUCAACCAAAUAAGCUAAAUUAUUAAUUUUUGAGAAAUUUGAAGGAUAGUUUAUACACAAAGAUAAGGGCACUUUUGGCAUUUUUCCGUUGCUUUGGUUGGUAUAGUGCACAAUUUUUGGCCGGAGACGGAUAAUCAACCCCCCACCGCCACCGUACGACUGGAUUUAUCAACCCAUCUCCGAGCAGAAAAUAUAGAUUUUUCAUCAAUAUGGCUUCACUAAUGGUGUAAUUUUGGUUUGUUAUCGAUCAUCUAGCUAUGUAUUACUCAUUUGAUAUGUUUCUAGCAGCUUUGCAGAAGCAGAGUUUCAUUAUGUUCCAUUGCUUUCCGAGUUUGGUCCUGACUCUCGAAAUUCGAACGGUGCCACAAAAUUAAGAAGGUUUUACUUCAUGUAGUACUUUUUUGUAGUACUUUUUCUUGUAAUAUCAAUAUUGUAUUCAUCAGAACAGUACAGACGAUAGUUAACAAGAAGGUGUUAGUGUUACUAUUGGUUUAAUUGAGAUUUUAUUCGACAUUGUCUCCUGUUUGGUUUGAUCAUUGAUGGUUAUAUUCUAUUUAUGAAGUUGUUAGGUUUUGUUUUAGCUAUUUAAUUUGUAGAAUUGAUUCUCUUUGAAGGUGAUCUAAGAUGAGAUAUUAGAGAUUUUGUAAUGAGAUUUGGGUGUGAUGCUUAUAUUCUUUUUACCACAAUCAAGUUUUUGAUAAUUUCAGCUCCAUAAUACUUGCCCGUUUCUCAAUUCAAUGUAUUGUGCAACAACACUUCUUACACUGUCAAUCAAGCAUGUUAAUAUGAUCUCUCUACUUGAAGGUCGAAGCGAAUUCAUCAACUUGUUGAGUUAGUUCAUUUUUUGUGUAGAGGAUGUUGUAAGCUGGGACGCGGAGAUUAUUUCAUAUAUUAAAACUGUAAAUCUUCUCUUGCGGAAACAAUGACAUCCGAUAGACUGCUUCUUCGUUAGAAUCUAUUAUAAGCAUCUUGCUUGCAGUAUAAUCCCCACCAGUUUUUUUGAUCUAAAGAGAUGAUUAUUUUUCCACUGCUGACCAUGUAGUCAGUCAUUCUUUGGAUUUUUUUUCCUUUUAUGGCCCAGUUGCUUUUGUGGUGUUGGAUUGCUUCAUGUUGUCCCACCUUCUCACUUCUAUCUUCCCAAAAUAGAUGAUGCUCCUAAACAUAUUAACUCUGUCCAGUCUGUUGCUUCAAUUGCUGCAGAGUUCAUGGCAGACAUUGGGCACACGUUUGAUGAUGAUGAUCUCAAGCAACCUUAUUACAACAUGUUUUCUCUGAUGGGGACUGGGUUCUUUGGUUCUGUUGGUUGCAUUAUAAACUUCGGUAUGUACUAAGUACUAACCUUUUUCUUGUGUGGUUACACACGUCUAUAGAUUACACUGUAUCAAAAUUCUAUAGUGUCAAGAGGGGGGGCUCAAACUGCUCUAGCACUAUUUCCUAGGAGAACUCUAUAUUUGAUGACGUGGAAGUAAUAUAUGAACGAUGAUCCUCGUGACUUCUAUAUAUAAAAUGGAUAGCCCUUCUGGUCUCAUAUGUGAUGCAAUAAGAGUUAGUUAAUGAUCUUGUUUUCACUGUCUACAUUUUAGAACGGAUGAACAACACUAACCGUAAGGGGUUGUAUGGUAUAGGGGAUGGGGAAUUAGUUAUCCCACUAUAUAUAUGGGAUAACUUAGCCCAUCAUUGUAGUACAAAUGGUGGGAUAAUCUAGGGACUAACUAAUACCCCUAACCAAAUGCAGGAUAAAAUAAUCGUGCAUUUUAUCUCAGGAUUAUUUUCCCUUGUCCCUUGUACCAAACAACCUCUAAGUGGGAUGUGUAACAACAUUUUUCUAAUUGCACCAAUAUUAAGGUUUCAUCCAUUAAAACUUCACUAUUAGAGUGAAUCUACAAUUGUACACCAAGUUAUCAAAGUAAUCUUUAGCUGUAAAUUUGAAUGCAAGAUAACCCAUACAUGGUGAUUUGGUUACUAGAGAGAUCUGCAUUGUAGGAUUUCCUGCUCCAGUUAGGUUCUUUCAAAGAAUAAAUGUGACUGAUUAGAUGUUGAGCUCUGUUAGAUUGUGAUUGACUGGAUUUUGUGGUCAAAGGUUACCCCGUGUGACCCUUAACAACAGUCUGACAGUCCUUCACACCUACCUUAGGUCGAGUUGUAUCAUCUCAGCACAAAAAAUGCUAUUCAUAUGACAGUUUAUGCCUUGAAAUUUCACACUUCAAGAAAUUGGUCGCUUUUUGAUGGCCUUCGAUGGACCAAGAAGCUGUCAAGGCAUCGACAUAUACAUCAACUAAAAGUCGUCUAAAGUUAAUUUUCUUAAUUUCUAAUAUGAUUUGUUUUUCGAUUGAAAGGGCAUUGCAAUCCAUCAAAGAUUGUUUGCACCAUUUUGCAGGAAGAUGUUUUAGAGGAUAUUUCCUUCUCUGUUGGUACUUGGUAGGAAUAUGUCUGUCAAAAUUCUUGACAAAUAAAAGAUUUUUAGGGCUUCCAUCAGUGAUCAGUCGAAUUAAUUUUAGUUGAAGACCUGACUGUCAGAAGACUAUUUCAUAGUUCAUUACUUUUUGGCAGGUCAGUCGUUGGGAGCUCGACUUCUAAUAAAGGAAAAUAUUUGUACUUGUGAGUGAUUUUUGGUAGAGUUUUUUUUUUUUUUUGGUUUCCUAUCCGGUGUCCGAUACCCACAUUGGAGCUCGCCUAUUCCGGAUUUGCGCUGUGUAGGGCCCCAUCGGGGGGAAGCGCUCCCUACCAAGGAUUUUUCCAUACCUAGGGCUCGAACCCAAGACCUUUGAUUAAGAGAGGAGCAACCCCAUUCACUGCACCACAUCCUUUGCUCGAGUUUCUCCAUUUAGAUCUAACGAUCUUUCCCCCUGUCCCCAUCAACAUUGCCGCUCACCACUCCUCUCUUGUGGUCGCCACUAGCUAGUAAAUCUCCCUUCCCCUGCUGAUGAUCCUUUUCCUUUUUGUCUCCUUUUUUAUUUAUUGAUACAUUUAUGAUAUACUUGUGUUUUUUCAAUAUUAUGUAGUUUGGCCAAUAUUAUUAUUGGAACAUUCUUGUUCUAGUUUCAGUAUUGCAUAAGAUCCAAACGAGAUCAACAUUCUAUAAUGGUCGGUUGACAUAUAUCAGAUUGAGUAUCAACGUUUGAAUAUAGAUUUGUUGGUCAUCUCAAUAAAGUUGCAUUGCUGAGGUGGGUUGACGAAAUGCAAAUUCAAUAAACUGUUGCAUGUUAUCUAAUUCAUUAUAGCUAUCGAAAGAUGCAACACUGUAGUAACGAAAGCCUUAUAUUGUCUUAUUUGUCAACAUUGCUUUCUCUGAAGGGGGGUUUGUUGACUUUAGCUUAGAAAUUUGGUUUGCAAUGUCUUUUGCACUUUCAGAAGUACAGGUGGUUCCCUGCAUGUAAUAUUAUCUUGUCGAUAUUUAUGUUAACAUUUUUUAAAUCAAAACUUAAACAUUUUUUAAAUCAAAAUUUAAGUUAUAUAAAAUAUAUUCUUUUAAAAAAGUGGGCUGGCCUGGCGUAGGCUGCAACCCGCAUAAUGAUGGGCUGGGCUGACUGUUUUUUGGCCCACAAAAAUAAUGAGCCAGCCCGGCCUGACUCGUAAAAUCAAAGCUUGUAUGGGUUACCCCGAAUGGGCUGAAUCAGCCCAUAUUGACAGCUCUAUCUAUAAAUUUUUCCCUUUCUUGCUCUGAACAAAACUAUCUACAACAUCUGUGGCGAUUGUCAUUAUUCAGUUUGACCUGAUAGAUCUUUAUUUACAUUAACAGGUUAAAUCUUUGCCGCAGAUUCAAGCCUUGCUUACCAAUGGAAGUUGAGACACAUAUGUCUUUCAGAACUGCUGAAAAAAUCAGCAUUUUGGUGGUGGAUGAUGAUGCCACUUUUCUUCCGGUUGUUGCUGGGCUACUCAAGAAAUGCAACUACCAAGGUACUUAUACCAAAUCUUUGGUGAUGUCUUUGUCGUCUUCUUUUUUUCAUUUCCUAUUUGGUGUGGAUUCUGGAAUGCAAUGAUUGCUUUUUUCUUCCCCUAAUUUGAUAGAUCCUAGAGUUGAAAGUGGUAAGCUUUAGAUCUUCAAGUAGCAUGAUGUAUGAAUUCAAAUUACCUAUCGAAUGUACCAAAAUUGUUUAUACUUCCUUUUUAGGAAUAAGAAAUGGAACAAUUAAUUUUAGGCUCCACUUUACUUUGUUAGAUCUUCUUUGGAUCCGAUGUGUGUUUGACUUGAUGAAGAAUGAAGAGGAAUCACAAUGACAGACCACUUUUUGAACAUAGUUACUCUCAGUCCUUUUUAUUGUUAGUGAAAGAUGUAGAGGAGUCUAUCAAUAGAUUGGUUGAAAUGUUCUCAGAUCAUCAACAUAGGCCUUGGCCCUUGCCCACCCUUCUCAAACUCCCCCACUUCACUAAUUUCUAUUUAACUUAUGAUAUUGUAAGAAUUAUCAAAUCAAAAUUUCUUUUUUCUUUUUCGGUUUGUAGUAAGAAUUUUUUUACAAGAACUACGCGAAGCAGAAAAAAUAAUUUAAUGAAUCUGAUAAGAACAUUAAGUGUAUCUGUAUUUAUGGAAUUAUCUUUACUAUAACCACAAUAAUAGAUCUUACAUCAGCAUAUGUAUGGAAAAAGUAGUUCCCUUGUUUUGGCUAAUAAUCCUAAUGUCAGAGCUUUUAUAAGCAACGUAGUGUAGGAUAUUGGUAUUUGGAUUUUUAAAUGUUUCUAUAUGGAAUGUUUGUCAUUUCCCCUUCAUAAUACAUCUAAUCAAUAAACUAUUUUGGUUUUUCUCCAGUUGUGACUGUCAAAUAUCCCAUAGAUGCUUUGUCUAAACUUAAGAUCAAAGGCGACUCUUUUGAUCUCGUUGUCACUGAUGUGCACAAGUCUGAUAUGAAUGGAUUUGAACUUCAACAAGUGAUAACCCAAGCAUUUGAAAUACCUGUUUUAUGUGAGUUGAUUUCUUCUUCUUUUUUUUUCCGAUUUUUUUUUCUCCGUAAAAUGUUCAGUGUUCUAUUCAUUGGUUGUUAGAGACAAGUUUAUGAUUUAAGCUAUGUACUAAAUGCCAGCGAUGUCAGUUGACGACAAGGAAGGUACAAUCUUGAAAGGACUAAACGGUGUAUCAGUCGACGAUCAAAGAGGUCAAGGGCUGUGCACAGCGUUGCAAGUGAAGAGAGGUAAAAAACCUGUCCCUGGGAAAUCUGCAAUGAAACUGGGGAAACAGGGCAAAGAUAACAGUGUCAAUUUUGUUCUACCAACAAAGUCUCAGAUUAUAUGGACAGAGUCACUUCACAACGCAUUCCUGGAAGCCAUUAGAAACAUUGGGUUUGACAGUAAGUUGUUGUUGCUAGUGUAUUCACAUUAUUGAAAGAGUUUUUCUGAGGUGUCUAACAGAAAGGAAUGUUAAAUUGCCAAUAAUUUGUUACCUCAAUUUUCAUAUAGAAGCUGUGCCAAAGAAGAUUCAUGAACACAUGAAAGUCCCUGGAUUAACAAGAGAAAAUGUCGCCAGUCAUUGGCAGGUCUACUUCUAAAUACAUAUGUUUUAACUAUUAUUGCUAUGGUUUUCACAUAUAAAAUAGUUGAAGUAAUGUUUGAUUUCUGUAUUACUUUGCUUGAACUAGUGCAUACUCUUAUAGAAUAGUUUUACUUUAAUUAUUAAGAUAUUCUUGAUUCUUGACUAUCUAUAUGCAAUAUUAAUCAUCAGUUAUCUUUCGUCUUUAGAAUCUUACUUUGAUUUUUAUAUAAUGACAACAUAACACUCAUUAUUGAUGGAUUCUUCCUGCUAGCUUUGGUUUCAUAGCUAUUAUAUUGAUGGAUUAUUGUAUUAUCAACGUAUGAUCACCUCAGGGCUCAUCUCUUCUGUUGGAUGACUCUCAAAUUCCUUUCUUGCCAAAUAAAGCUAUGUUGCUCGGACUCUCCAAAAUGCUGUCGCAUCCUCCAAAAAUGCUCUACUUUUGGAGGAUCUGACACACACCCAUCGACAUUUUUGAAGAGUAUGAGAAACAUAGAACUAAAGUAAAUGCUGCCUUUCGAGACUGUUCUACAUACUGUUGUAAGACAUUCCAUGAUCUCAAUCUGUUCUUUGCUUGAAAAGCCCUUUUCAACUCUCAAUUGAUAGUGAUUGAAUAGAGACUAUUGUAAGACAUUCCAUGAUCCACUCUAUGAACUUCUCUGGAAAGUUCAGGGCCGUGAGAACCUGCUCCGUAAAUUCCUGCUCCACUGAAUCAUAUGUCUUCUGCAUAUCCACCUUGACCAUGCUUCUUGGAGACAUCCCUUUUCUUCCAUACCUUUUGGUCAGCUCAUGACUUAGUAUUAUGCUAUCUGAGACAUGAUUUCCUUUGGUCUUGUAGUGAUUAUCUUUGAUAUAAUUUUGUAUAGGAUAGGGCAACAGGAUAAAGGUCUGAAUUCUCUUACAUUGGUUGGAUUUCUUUACUUUUGGUAUGAGUUUCACACUGGUACAAUUCACAGGUUUGUAAAGUUUCUGUCUUCUGAAAAACUCUAGUACUGCAUCUUUAUUUCUUCUCCAAUUAUUGACCAUGUCUUUUUGAAGAAUAAGACAUUAAAUCCAUCAUGUCCUGGGGUUUUUAUGUAUUCUAUUCCUUUUAGUGCUUGGAGAACUCCUCUCUAAUUUACUAUUCAAAAUGUGUCCCUCUUUGACGACAUUGGGUUGAAUAGCAGGGAUACUGGUAGCUGCAUUUGUCUUUGACUUAGUACUUCUAUAAACUGCUUCCUUACUUUAGCAACUUUGUUUGCUGAUGACAGAAUUGCUGACUCUAAAUCAUCAUUACUAAAACUUAGGUAGCGCUUUUAAUUUGUUCUGUCCUAAUCAUCGGUUCCUCCAUUCAUUCAAGCAAUUUGUUAUAACUUUGCAGAAAUAUCGUAUUUACUUGCGCCGAGUUACUGAUGCAAGCUCUAGUAUCCAAGUUCCUGACAUAAACUUAGCUAGUAGGGCUAAUCAAUCGACCAUUGCAUCUGGAACGCUUGGUAAACAUAGGCAAUUUCAUCAAAAGAAUUUUGGAGUGCAGUGUAGUGUCCCCAGCUUAUUGAUUCACACUACAGUUUAUCGGACAGGCAGUCUGCAACAUCUUAAGAAUAAGUACGUAUGAUUCACCUAAUAACCACUUCUUCAGGCAUUAAUCUUAGCUUAAAGCUAUAUCUAUAUUUGUUAAUGAUGUUUCCAGGAAAGAAGUUGAUGUUGUGCUCAAUCCAGUUCGUAACUUUUCUGUCUUUCACAAUGUUAGUGCUAUGCAAGGAUCACAAGGCAUUGGUGAUCUUAGUGCUUCUUCCAUGAAUCAAGGGAAUGAUCAACCUCAUCAGGUAUAUAUUUUUUGAGCAUUUUUCUUUAUUCUUUGCAAUUAUGCAAUCAAAAGUAAAAACUAUACUCUUCCUUAUUGUCUGAUAAUCAUGUAUUUUCGAAUUUCAAGUUUGAACUUGUUCUUCUCUCAAUUUUAAAGUAGAUAUGGAACGAUUUAAGAAUACUAUUUAUAGAUCAACUUUUUUUUAAUGAAGUAAAAAGUUGUCAUUGAAAACCACCAGUAAGAUGCUAUGUGAGCAAAAAGGUACAAAAGUGGGUUAGCUCCAUUACAAUAAAGUCUAAACUAAAACCAAGGAGUUCACAAAGUCCAAAAUACUGUCAAUACUAUUUACAGUGGAGUUAUAGUACCAACUGAACAACUGAACUAGACAUCUAAAUUUCAGUGAGUGAGUUGGAGUUGAAAUCCCAUCAAAGCACCUGUGGUUCCUCUCAUUGUAGACGCACCAAAAAAUUACUGCUGGAAUCCUUCUCCAGAUCUUCUUGAUGAAUUUGUCAACUCUUCAAAAAGUCCAACUUGUGAAAACAUCCUUGGUAGAACGUGGAAUGACCCACUGUAGCCUGAAAAUAAACAGAAAAAAAACUCCAGAUACUGCUGCAAAUGGGCUAGGUAGAAGCAGAUGAUUGACACUUGCUGAAUCCUAUAGGCACUUAUAGCAUCUAUUGACUAAGGCAGUUUUUCCUAUAUUGAGAUUGUCCUGUGUUAGAGAUGCUUCAUUUAAAGUAAACCAGGUGAGGCAGGUGACCUUUGGAGUUGUUUUGAUCUUCCAGACAUGCUUCCAAGGCCACUUGUCAAUCAUACAAUUUUAAGAGCACAUGAUAUUGUAGUUGUCCUUGACUGUAAACUGCCCAUUUAUGGAGUUCCCCCAUACCAUUCUGUCUCGGUGCUGUCCUUCAACUGUGUACUGUUUCAGAGUGGCUAAUAAUGUGAGGAGGUCAUUUAGUUCCCGUAUCAAAAGGUUCCUUCUGAAUAGAGGGCUCCAAGAAUUAUCUUUCUCUGUAUGACAUAUGACUCUAGGUCUUUAUUGGUUUCUAUCAGGAGUAGUCCGGGAUAAGAGUGUUUAAGAGCAUUGUUGCCAAGCCAUUUAUCCUUCCAGAAUUUUGUUUGAGAUUCAUUGUCACUUUAUAGGAGAUAUUCUUGAAAAAGCCUGCUUGGUGGCUACUAAUAUGUUUUCAUAGGCCAACUACCUUUUUCUUUCUCCAUAUAAAAUAAAAUGUUUCCAUAUCCCAACUCCAUGAAUUCCUGUGUCUGUUUUAGAAUACCAAUGACUGUGGGUUCCAAACUUGGCAUCAAUUACCGUCCUCCAUAGUGUUGUAUCUUCAUGACCAUAUCUCGAUAACCAUUUCAUUAGCAUGCUCUUGUUGUGUAGACUCAAAUUUUUUAUUCCAAGAUCCCCUUGUGAUUUUGGCUGAGUGACUUUGACCUACUUUACCAAUGAAAAGACAAUUACCCUCCCAUAGGCCAUAAGAAAAUUCUCCAUUUGUCUAUCUGCUUCAACACUGCACUAGGCAUAGGGUAUAGUGAAAACUGAAAUGAAGUAUGUGGGAAUGCUACCAAGGACUGUGAUUGCCAAGUUGCCAAUCUCCUUUCAACCUUUUCUAUGACACCAUUCCAAACUCCAGGAGAUUUUAGUUUUGCACCCAAAGGAAGACCAAGAAAGCUAGAAGGGAAUGAAUUUGAAUUUAGAGAUCUAGAUAUUACAUCAUAAAAUUAAUGCAACUUAAAUUUUUCUCAGAGUUGAAUAUACUUGUUGAAGCUCAUAAUUGAUCCUCAUAACUAUUUGGGGGAUGAUCCUUUUUAUAAUAUUUACUUUUCACAUCAUCACCAUGUAUGUAGCAAAACAAUGAAGAUGAGGCUCAUGUCAACUUUGAUGGUGGUUUUAAUCAGGACAUGGAGAAGGGAGGACUAUUUGCAAUGAUUUAAUCAAAUACCAUUCAAGGCAAGUUUCUUUUUCAUCAUCCAUAUAAAGAAUGAGUGCUGCAAUGCAUUGUUUUGCUCAUUGUAGGUUCUCAUUUGCACCAUCCAACUGGAUGUAUUUAAAUCCUAAAUCUGUUUUUGCAAAUGACCAACUUAUAGCUUGUUUGGCCAAAGCUUGUGGAGGCCUUGCUUAUUUUAUAGAGUUGAGGUGCUUGACAAAACUUCUGAAGGGAAAUUAAAGUGUUUUUGAGGAGGAUUCACUUUUGAAAGUUUGACCAAACACAAACUGCUGCUCUAUUAUUGAGAAAAGUGUUUUUCAUAUUGAUUAGCCAACAUUGUUACUUUCUAGGAGAACUAUUUUCGAAAACACCUUGGCAAAAGUACACAAAAAACGUUGAAAUUUACUUAAUCUUGGAGGUUGACGUAUCUCAACUUCAUAAUGUCCUAUCAUAUCCUUCUUUUGUUAAAUUUAUUUAGAAAUGAUUCACGCAGGCUAUGCUGACCCAAGGUUGAUGGGGAGUUUGGCCAGACCUACUACUCAGGUAUUAAUUCUUUAGUUUUAGUUAAUUUCAUUUCAAACAUUGAAUUUAUGAAUUAUUAGAUGUCAAAUGUACACUAACUAUAAAUUUUCUGUUACAUUUUUUCAGCAACCUAAGGAGGGUGAUUUUUUUUUUUGGAUUUGGUGCGUACUUCAAGUUUCCCACAAAGGUAGGGUAAAAGUCUGCGUACAUCUUACCCUUCCAGGCUUCACUUGUGGGAUUGCGCUUGAUAUGGUGCUGUUUUUGUUGUUGGCGUGUUCUUCAAGUCCUUUUGAAGAUGAGUAAAACACAUUUAGUUCAAUAGUUGAAAUAUUUAAGUGACAGUUUAAUAGCAACAAAAACUGUUGGUGCUAGAGACAAAUCAAUGUUUUACUUGAUGUACUUCUUUUUAUGGUACUUUUGGGAUUAUGAUUUGUUCUAACGUCUCAGAAAUUGAUUCAUUAAAUUUUAAUGAAUCAAUAUAUUACAUUUUGCUUAAGCUAGUAUGUCAUUUUCAUCUGAUUUUCGGUAUUCGUUUUGAGGUUAGAGUAAUUUGGGUUCAUGUCAUGAAGUCUCAAUUUGGGAUACAUACGACUUCAUAUAAGGGCUCGAACGUGAAACCCUUUAAUUAAGAAUGGAGGGUAUAUCCACAGUCCCAUCAUAACAUUUGGUUAUAUACGAUAUUAAAUCCAAUACUUUCUCCAUUUGGUUAUGUGACAUUUUUUUAAAUUCGUUUUUAAAAAAUGAUAGUAGACUAUGAGUUCCUAUUCUGGAUCCUUCUACUUAACUCUUUGCCACUUUGCCAAUUAAAGUAUGUGUUUCGUUGAGCUUAAUGGUUUAAUUGCUAAAGAGUUAAGCAAAAGGGUUUAGAAUACAAAGUCUUAAGCAAAAGAGUUUAGAAUACGAAGUCAUACAAAUAAAAUGAUAUGUCCAUCCGAUCAUUUCGCUGCCAAAUUAUAUGACACAUUAAAAUUACAUUAUUUUUUAAAGGGAAAGGGUAAAAAAUGCCAUUAAACUAUGUGAAAGGAACAAAAAUGCCCUCUAUUUAUAGUUUGGCUAAAAAAUGCCCUUACUGUCAAUACUUUGGUUCAAAAUUGCCCUUGCAGUUAAUACUUUUGUCCAUAAAUGCCCUUAUAGUUAUAAAAUAGGUCAAAAAUAUCAUUUUCCAAAUAAAUAUAUUAUUUUUCUUUUUAAACACAUCUUCUUUCUAAUUACAAUAUUAUUAAAGAACACUAUUCUUGUUUUCUUUCUUGUAAAAUCACUUUAAGAAAUAAAAAUGUAGGAAAUUUUUUUUCUUCUUAAUCUCAUUUUAUCAAUUAAAAUAGAAUAACUUCACAUACCCUUUCGAUAGAUAAUAUAUGCCAUAUAUAUAUAAGAUCAUAUUAUAUCCAUCAUUAAUUUAUAUUUAUAUAAUGAUAGAAAAUAAUGAUGAUAAAAUAUGAAAUAUUUUUUUUUUCUGAAUUAAAGUAAGAUAAACAUUUGCUAAUUUAGAAAAACAUAAUUAGAAAAAGAAUGUGUUAAAAAAUAUAUAUUUAUUUGGAAAUGAGCAUUUUUGACACAUUAAAUAACAAUAAGGACAUUUUUGGAGUAAAUUACAAACGGAGGGCAUUUUUGUUCCUUUUGCAUAGUUUAAGUACAUUUUUGAACCAAAAUAUUGACGGUAAGAGCAUUUUUGAGUCAAACUAUAAACGAAGGACAUUUUUAUUCCUUUCAAAUAGUUUAAAAGCAUUUUUGACCAUUUAUCCUUUUUUUAAAAACAAUCUGUACUUUUUCAUUUUCAACUAAAUAUUUUCGAUAAAAUAAGACAAAAAAUUAUAGAUUAUAAAAUUAUUACAAGAAGGGUAUUUUGGUCAAUAAAAAAACUCGCCGCUGCUGUUUAUAACACUGUAAGAUAGCGUCAAAAAAGAUAUCUUCACUCAGCCUCGAAGCUCUCGCUGUACUUCACGAUUUCUUCAACUUUCGAAAGAGGUACAAUUCUUCAUCGCUCUCUAAUUUAUCAAUCAGAUCUUCUAAUUUAUACUGUUUUUUUCUCAGAUCUGUUUUAAUUUUGUAGAAAUCAGUAAAGUGUAUAGGGAAAUGUUGAAUCUGAGUUUUUUUUAUUAUCAAGGUAUAUAUUCUAUGUGGAGGAAUGAAAUUUUUAGUUGUUGGUUAGUUUGGUUAAAUGAUUUUUUUUUAACAAAACAAAAUUAAGGUUUUUGUUGGGGAUCUGUAAUUUUUAGGUUAGGAAAUUGAUUUGUUUGUGUUGGUGUUAAGAUUGAAAGUGAAGGAUGUUGAUGCUUGAAGUAUUAUAUAAGUAAAAAUGAAACUGAAAGUUGUAGAUUAGGGUUGUUAAAGUUGACCGUGGGGUGUUUCAACCUACCCAAACGUUAAUGGGUUUGAUGAAUGGUGUAUUCAGUUAUGGGUACGCAAGGGUGCGGCCUUAUGGUCAAUUAAGUGGGAGGAGAACCCUAGUAUCAUGUUCGGCAAAAGAUACUACUUGGUGAUUUCUUUUCCUCUCUAUGCCUCGGUGAGGUAGCUGGUACUUGGUGGAAUAGUUGAGGUUUGUGUAGGUAGCUUGGACACCACCGUCAUUGAAAAAAGAGAGAUUUGUCAGCUUUGUCUGCUAGCAUUUUGGUGCUUGAUAUCUACACAAGAAGAUGGGAGUGUAACUUUAAGGUUUUAGCAUAACAUGAGGAUAUAUUAGGUGGAGCACCCAAGUGUUUGUCCUAGUGGUCAAUGAAGUGGGUUGAGAACUAUGAGGUCUUAGGCUCAAAAUCCCAGCAGAGAUAAAAAAUACUACGUUGUUUCUUUCCAUAUGCUCUAGCAUUGGUGGACAAUUUCUAGUAUCUUUGGCUGAUGGGAGGUGGCGGUUAUCCUGUGAAUUAGUUGAGGUGAGCGAAAACUAGCCCAGACACCAUGAGUAUAAAAAACGGAGAGGAAAUAUUUAGGUGGAAGAAAAAACAAUUUCGUUUAAGCAUGUUGUGUGUGGAGAGACUUGUGUGUCGUAUAGAGAUAAGUGCGAGAAUUAGAGAAACACUAAGUCUAUGUUAACAUGCAAAUUAUUUAGUACCAUGUUCAAAUUGAUCAAAUCCAUCUUAAAGGAUUCACAAGGUUGAUCCUAAAUAAGGUCAAAAUACUUGAAGAAAAGCAAUAGAUUCAAAAUCAACUAGUAGUCCAUUGUGCCAUAUCUUUAGCUACACUAAAUUGUUUUCAAGAAAUUGUAGGUCUCUAAACGUAAUUUCUGUUUAUGUGAUAUUUAGGUCUAUCUCAUAUCCUUUUAACACCUUUGCUCACCAUAGUAUGACACCUAGUCACCGGUGCAUUUGUAGGAUGUGACCAAACAACUCAAGUGAUAUUCUCUCAUUUUAUCCUCAGGCGUGCUACUUGCAUCAUAUGGCAAAUGUGUCCAUUUUUAAUCUUAUCUAAUCUUGUAUGAUUGCAACAUUCAUCUUGUUGAUAUGUUGGACUCUAGCGGUCCAACAUUCACUACCAGAUAACAUUACCGGUCUUGUAACUUUUCUGAAGGACUUACCCUUCACUUCGGUCAUCUUGCUAUCUCAUAAUGCUUUGGUAGCGUUUCUCCAUUUCAAUCAUUCGAUUGUAAUUGUACAAGUAUCAUCUCCCUCUGUCAUUCCAUUCUCUUGAAACAAUGACCAUAUAUAUCUAAAUUGUCCUUGGAAAAGCCACAAUUCCUAAACUCUUUGGCUAUGUUAACUUUUGAAACAAGUAAUUGUAAUACAUUAGAAGUACAGAAUGCUAUAUCUAUUUAUUGAUUGUCUUAAGCGUUUGGUACUAAGUUAGCAUUUUAAGUGGAACAUAUCUAGCAAUUAUUAUGCUAAAUUGUCAAACAUUUUAUCAUGUUUACUUUACUAAUCAUAUUAAACAAGUACUUAAAAGGAGGCACAAUGUUUCUCGCGUGGUUUACUUAUGAUGUGUGUGUGGCUCUUGUUGUACCUGUACUGAUGAAGUACAUUAUGUUUGCUGGAGUUGGACUAAAUUAAUUUGUUUCUCUUCCCUGAUCACGAGUAAUUUUCUUGUCUGAUCUCAGGGUGGAAAGAGUCUUGAGAUCUUCUACUCAGGUGGGAUGAGGCCAAUUUUCUGUGGGAAUGUUGAGUAUAAUGCCAGACAGUCAGAGUUGGAGAGGCUUUUCAGAAGAUAUGGGAAAGUGGAUAGAGUGGAUAUGAAAUCUGGUAAGCCUCGAAAGUCUUGGUUUUAUGUGUUAUUUCUUACUUGAUAUUGUGCUAUCUAUUUGGAGGUGCUGAUUGGUCUUCUGGUUGGGUUUACUUCGUGUCCAGAACUAUCUAUCCACAUCGACCUUUCUUGUCCUGAAUCUCAUUCCUACAAGAUUAUACAUGUUACCUAUACCAAAAAAAGUUUUUAUGUGAGAUGCAUUGGUUAUAUGGCUAACGAACUUCAAUUAGAGCUUUCCUACUGCGGUGGUCUUAUUUCUCCCUCUCUCUCUCUCUCUAUAUAUAUAUAUAUAUAUUAUUUUUUUUUCUUUUUACUUUGUGAAUUUAAUAUAUGAUCCUCCUAUAUUGCGGGUGAGUUUGGAUCAUACAUCUAAUCAUCCUCCAGCAAGAUGCCUGAAUAGACCGUUUAGUAGGAUGCUGGAAAUUUUCACUUCCAGUGGUCAGGACAGUUUUUAUUUGAGAGUUUUACCUCCAUGCAACUGCAAAACUGAGGCAUGAACUGAGUUGUGCAAAGUGAUUGUUCCACCCAUUGCUCACGCGUUGACAUACAGUACACGAUGUUGUAUCGAAUCUGAGAAUGAUAGUUCUGAUAUAACUUAUUACCUGGUAAGCUUCGUCUAGGUUCUAUGAUGUCUGUGGCUCUAGAUAUUUUGAUAACUAGCAACCAGUAAAGCUGAUGUGGUGGCGAAGCAGUUGAUUCAUGAUGGCAAAUCUUGAUGUACUUGGCAGUUCAUUUUCUUCGGAGUAUUGAUGAUUCUAGAGUUCAGAAGUCCUCACCAGCACUUAUCCCAUAGUUUCAACUGUCGAAGGACUUGAAUAACUGAAAUUUGGUCUGCUUUGGGACACCGUGAUCAUUCUUCACAUUGUGACUGCAUUGGGCCGAAGAUCUGUUCAGAUCAUUCGACUCAAUAACAGAAGAUGUAGCUUUUUAUGGGUGUUAGGAUAUGUUUACAAAGAAGUGUUUUUAAGUAUGAACCACCAUACUCAAUUAUUCUUUGGCGCAGGAUAACAUUGCAAUGUCCAUACUAUCAUGGCUGAUGGAUGGAGUCUCAUUUCAUUUCCUAGCUGUGACAAGUGUUCUCUUCUUGUCUCCAAGAAGAGCUCUCUGAUCCAUCAUGGCAUCACAAUCAUAUGUUUUCCUCCGUCAUUAUUGCUUUCCAAUCCAGAAUUUUCCCCAGCCUUCAUUUUACAGACUAGUCACAACUCACAAUGCCGACCUCGAUGCUGAGGCAGCAGAUAAAAUGGAGAAGGCACUUUCUUUACAUUGUUCCCUCAUGUGACAUGCACCUUUACUUGAAAUCUGUUAGUCCACCACCAAAGGUCUGUUGCUGAUUUUACUCGUAAAAAAUUUAUAGAUUUGACAGAGUGGUUUUAUAAUUGAGAUGUUAAGUCAAGAUGGUUUACAUCUCUGUUGGAUGGAAUCUCUUCUUCUAUAUUUUAAUACUGAAGAAUAUUUCACUGGAGUCUUGUUCUCAUUUUGCUUUAAGUUUUUAUUUAAUCUAUGGUGUUUCUUGGGGGUGGGUUUCAGGUUUUGCUUUUGUGUACAUGGAUGAUGAAAGAGAUGCAGAGGAUGCUAUUCGCGGACUUGACCGUAUAGAAUUUGGCAGAAAGGGACGCAGACUUCGCAUCGAAUGGUCAAAGGUAAUCCUUUUUUUGGUCCAGAAAUCCAUCUCUCCCCUUAAAAAAUCCUCAAAUUCACUUGUGUUCUCAAAUGGCUAUGAUGCAGGAAGAGCGUAAUGGUAGGAGGCCAGAGACUUCAAGGAAAUCUUCAUCUAGUGUCAAACCUUCAAAGACUUUGUUUGUCAUAAAUUUUGAUCCAUAUAGUACUAGGAGCAGGGAUAUAGAGAGGCACUUUGAUCCAUAUGGAAAAAUACUCAAUAUAAGGAUUAGAAGGAAUUUUGCAUUUGUUCAAUAUGAAACUCAGGAGGAUGCUACUAGAGCCUUGGAUGCUACAAACAUGAGGUAUUUUCUUGUUGAUUUGUUGUAAUGUGGUUAUUUUGAUCAGACUUUUUCGCAGUUUUCCACUUCCAUAAUUGACCAUUGUUUGUUGUUCGUCUUUUUCUUUCUGUUGCAGUAAAUUGAUGGAUCAAGUCAUUACAGUUGAAUAUGCAAAUAAAGAUGAUGAUGACAGGAGAAAUGGGUUUAGCCCUGAUAGAAACCGCGAUAGGGGUCUUAAGAGAGGUUAUGACCGAGGCCGAUCUCGGAGUCCUUAUGGAAGAGAGAGGGGGAGUCCUGAUUAUGGUCGUGGACGGGCCCGUAGCCCAAGUCCAAUCCGUCAAGGUAGGUCAAGCCCUGAUUAUGGUCGUCGCUCUAGUCCAAAUCCCAAUCAUAGGGAAAGGGAUUCUGAGUAUGGCAGUGGCCGUAGUCCAAACAUGAGAAAGGAGAGGAACCCUGAUCAUGGAAAUGGCCAUAGCCCAAACCCUCGAAGGCUGAGAGCCGGUUCUGAAAAUGGUGAGGUGCACAGUCCACCAGAGGAAGGACUUCUGGAAUCUGGCCCUAGUCCCCCUAGGGUGGGGAGGAGAGGGAAAUAUAGCCCCGAUGAUUAUCGUGGCCGUAGCCGUAGCCCAAGGUCUAAACCUGAAGAAGUAGGUAGUCCUAGAUAUGCUGCCGCAGAAAGUCCUCUUCCAGAACGACACAGGAGGUUCGCAGCUUAUUCACUCUUUUUCUUUUUUAGGCUCUCGCUUAUCUAUGCUCUACGAUACAGUUGCAACAAAUUACUCUCUUGCUUUAUAAGCUCAUAUUAUUUUGUUUACAAUGCAGCCUUUCACCUCCAACUCGAGAAAGAUCCCGCUCCUAAUUUGCUCGGUAUCAGCCUCUGACCUUAGUCAUAUUUGGCGGGGACGGUCACAUUGCUAGUGGGUGCUGUAGAAGUAUGCUUUGAAGUUGCUGGAGCCUCAAAAUUCCAGCGUCUGUUUUUGCUAUCAUAUGUUAAAAAUUCCAGUCACUAUAGUAUGGGCUUUUUGACAAUUUGUUCUUAAUAGACUUGCUACUGUAUUAGGUGAUUCUGUUUUAAAGUUGAAAACUCCUUGGUAAGACUUUGGUUUAGUUGGGCUGAACUAUCUUGAAUAUCAUAUUCUCAGAAUAUGUACUGAAAAUGAUGGGUUAUUUGCAGUUUUGCCCUUAGUUUGUGUUGGUCUUUAAUUUUUAUCCCAUCGUCACAAAAAAAGUAGAAAUUGCAAGACAAUUUAUAUUUUCAUAUCAUAAUAUUUAAAGUUUUGCCUUGUCAUGACUGCAGUUUUUAAGGAACUUAUGCCUUUGUGGGGGCAUAAGUUCAGUCGAUUAAGGGUAAAAAUUAAAGAUCAGUCCAUUUUUUGGUGGUGUACUUAAAAAAGUCAUUAUUGAUGCAUGCAUCUUAAUCGAAUAUUUAAGAGGGACUUUAAUUUAUCAAUUUAAUUUGUCCCUUAACUUGAAUUAUAUUUUAAGCAAAGAAGUAACCAUCAAUUAUUUGAAUCGUCAAAAAUUCGUUGGGUUAAUAUAUUGAGUUUUGGGAUAAAACCGAUCGAUCAUGUUAUACGACUAGGUUAUUUAGCUAAUUUUUGAGGAAUUUUAUAUAUUGUAUAGCCCCUUUAAUAGCUGACAAAUGUAUUCUAUAGUAUAGCAGUUUGAUAAAAUAAUAGCUAAUGAAUGUGAUAUUGUAUAGCUGUCAAUCCAAAUAAGAGCGAAAAAUGUGUUAUUUCAUAAAUAUCUUUCAUUCAUCUAUUAGUCUAAAAAUAUCUUUAAUCUAUUUAUUUAUUUUUCCUCAAAAAUACCUCUUAAAAUAAUACUCAACAAACAAUAAUGUGAAAGCCUUAUAUUGUCCUUUUACCAUAGAUAAUUUUUUUUUUUAUAUAGUAUAGUUGAGAAAUUCAAAAAGGGUUACACAAGAAUAAACAACAUAAUUUAGUAACAUAGCAAAUACAAGUUUAUUCUCUUAUUGAAUUACAAGCCACUUGUGACAUGAAUGCACAUGUAAGAACAAUUUCUUCACUUGCAAUAAUUUUAGUAAGCUCCAAUGCAAUAUUUCUCGUCCUCAUCAUGAACAUCAUCAUCAUUAACAUGAGUAGCAAAUUGGAGAAGGUCCUUGUCUUGUUCAAAAAUGGACAUUUGUUGUUCAUUCAAGUUGAUAAACACUUCAAUUCCUUUACUUUGAUCAUGUGUAUUCAUUAAGUACAACACAUUGUUAAAUGGAGCACUUGCCAUGCUUGCUCUACUAGGCCUCCCCCAUCCAAAAUCCAAAUCUUGAUAUGGCAUGUUACAUAUGCUACUACAACGAUACACAUCGUGACAUGAACUCUUCUGGAGAUACGAUUGAGCAUCCUCUACUCUUGUAUUAACUUUAUUUGUGUAUUCCAACAUUUCUGAUAUCCAUGUGUUGUUUUUGAAAUUAUCUUUGUUAGAAAGCUCGAGUUUGGACUUUCUUAUAUCAGAUACUAACUUUGGUAACCUAAGGUCUUCUAGGUUAUAUGUUGGUGUGGAGAACGCGGUGAGAAUAUUUCCUAUUGUGGUGGUUGAUUGUAUUGAAGGUGGAAUUGUUUUUCGUAAAUCUGAUACCAAGACCAAUUGAGAUGAAGAAUCAUUACUACUAUUACCAGUAUUUGAUAAGUUUGCACCUGCUGUUGCUGCACAUUUGUAAAAAAGUGCACUUACAACCUCAGUUGUUGUUGGAUUUUGAACGGUUGAUGAUUUAUCAGAAGAAACGAAAGCUUUGAGGGCUCUUAUCUUGAAUUCAGAUAAGAAAAACCUUUUUUCAAGGUCGAUAGUGUCUUGUGUAUUUGGCUCAACCAUAACCGGAAAAUCUAGAGGACCAUCAGGUCGUGAUGGCAUUAAUGAAUCUUGGACAUAAUAAGGGGCACAUGUUGAUUCUCCAUUUGGAUAUUUUCGAGUUAAUGUAGCCCAAUCCUUUAGAAAGAAGAAUGCACUACGUGCAUCACCCACCUUAUGUGACAUGCAGACACUGACUGCUAUUCCUCCACACUCAAAGUGGCUGAGUUGAGCUACGCUCAAACAACCACCAUCAUGUGCUGGAGGAACAUUCCUCCAGGGUAGCCCUGGAGGAAAUGCUAAGUCUGGGUGAUGAACGACUUGAUCCAUAGGACAAUUAACUUCAACUUCGAAGAACUCAGCCCCAGUGUUAUCACAAUGGAUGGUGGCAUUGUCACUUAAACUUCCAACCCAUGGUUGAUGAUAUGAUAUUGCUUUUGAAAAUGAGUUCUCAAGAAGUUUAGAGAGGUGUUUAGGUCCUUGUUGUAGUUGGUGUUUUGGGUAAAAUAAGACAAUAGGCAUAUAAAAAUUACCCAUACAUUGAUCAAGAAGGGAAAGUUUGUGUAUUCUUUGAGUUGAUGGGGUGGGAAAAAAAGGUUUCACAAUUUUCUUGGAGAUUGUUGAUAUCAAUCUUGAAAAAUUAGCCAUAUUUAAUUUUGAAUGGAAAAUUUAAAAUCUCACUUAUGCACUUGUUGUUCUUAGUUUUUUGUUACUAUAUAUAUAUAGACACACAAUACACCAACCUUUAAAUUUAAUAUAUGUAUAUAUAGACAUAGAACACCAACCUUUAAUACUAGCAAAAAACUUUAAACAAAACUUAUAUCUUUCUCCUUUUUAUUUAAUAUUAAAGAAAAGUAGAGUUCUAUGUGAAAUUAAUAGUCAAUUUUGGACUACCAUACUAUAUUUUUUUUAAGUCAUCACAUGCAGGUGUACCAUUUCUUAUUUCAAGGUGAGGUGGAUGAAAAAACCUAUACUUCCUUAGUUCAUUUUUAUUUGUUCGCAUUUGACUUUAAAUAUUUAUAAAAAAUAAUAAAUAAAAUAAUAAUUUUAUUAUAUUAUUCAAUUAGUUUUUUUUUUAUAAAAUACUAUAUUUUCCUAUUAUUUUUAGCCAUCUCACUCAUUGAGAGAUGCAUUGAAAAUAAUUAUUUAAUAAUUAUAAGAUAAUAUAUAUAAAAUAAUAAAUUGUCUUUGAUUUUUUAAACUUAGACAUAAUUUUUAGUAUAGUUAACAUGUAAAAAGUGGAUGGAGAGAGAGUGUAUAAAACAUUGCCGCAAAUUUGAUUUCUUAAUUCAAUUUCAAAAUUUUAAAUUCCACCAUCCUUUAAAUAAUGUGUAAACUUAAUUUUUUCUAUUUUUUUUUGCAUUUUCUCAACGUGAUAUGAUAUAAUACAAGGUAAUACAUGUGCAUAUAUAAUAUACUAUAAAUACUGCAAAAAAGUUAAACAUGUUAAAAACCUUAUAUUUUGUCUUAUUAAUUAGCAGUGUGAAUAUGGGAUCCUGUUUCCACUCAAUAUAUAUAUAAUAAUAUAUUGAAACAAUAACAUAAUUGAAGUUAUAAAUACUACUAUUAUUGUGAUAGUUUGUCGCUAAUCAUCAUAAAAUAAGAUUAGUGGUGAAUAUUGAGAAAGUGACAAAAAGAUCCCUUAUGCUUGAGGGUUAGGUUCGAAAUUAUAAUUUCACAAAAAUACUUAUCAAACGAGUUAUUGAUAAUGAUAGCUACUCAAAUACACUUUUAUUAUGAUGUGACUAAGGGUUGUGUAUCGGUCGGUUCAGUUUUGAAGUUUAUCGAUUUGUAGAGAUGUUAAACCGUUAUAGAACAUUAAGAUCUUGGCUUAUCGGUUAUUGAUGGUUAUGUUUAACCAUUAAGAUUUGACACAAAAAAAACACAUUGAAAAUCACUUUAGAAACAAGGUGACAAACCAAAUGAACCAUGUAUAUGAGUUCACAAGUUACAUCUUGCUAAAAAACAAACACUUUUACAUUGUAGAAUAACCAAAAGUUUGAGAAAACCAGAAAUAAAAGUAAGAAACAAAACUCUAAGUCAAAGACUUUAUAUACAAAAUUGUAUAAAUAUAAUUAUUUAAUUUACUAUCGGGUUAUCGGUUAACCCAUUAAGAAAAAACCUCAAACCGUUAAGAAUCAAUAACCCGGUAACAAAAAAAAUUAAAACCGUUAUCAAAACCGCUAAACCAAUAACCCUGAUAAAUUAAUAACUUUUUUUCGGUUCAAAUUAUUGAUUUCAGUUCGGUUUUGAACAACUCUAGUAAGAUUAUCUAUUUUAGAUCGAACAAGCAUGAGCUUAUUUAUUCACUUAAAAAAAACAAAUGACCAUUAAAAAACAAAAAACAAAUAGACAUUCCAUGAUUAUUUUCUUAAUCCAGUUAUAAUAGGGCAUUUUAAAAUCAUAUAUAUAUAAAAAAGAGAACCCUAGGCCCGCCUACAUGGCGCCACCACAAAUCAGGAUUCCCUUUUAAUUUAUUUAUUUUCAAAAAUAGCCUCCCCUUUCAUGAAAAGUUGUGACUUUUAUAAAAAGUUUUGAUUUUUAUAAAAAGUUGCAACAUUUACGAAUAGUUGCGAGUUUUACAAAGAGUUGCGACUUUUAUGUAGAGUUGCGACUUUUAUGAAAAGUUGCAACUUUUAUGAAGAGUUGCGACUUUAUGAAAAGUUGUGACCUUUCCGAUAAGGCACAAUAAGCAUUUAUUAAAACAACGAAAAUUCUGGACUUCUUCUUCUUCUGCACAAUUAAAUAUUCGUGUACUUUUGCUCCUGUUGAGUGGCGGCUCACUGACACCAUUGUUUUUUGUAUCAAUACACUGGUGAAUACAAUCGUUCUAUCCUGAGAGAAUCUAUUCCUUUAAACCUCGAGUACUAGAGGAGAAGAAUUUCCUUAAAGGGACAAUGUGCUUUCAGUGGGCUCAAUUUUUUCCUUUCUAUUGUUACAGAUCCUGGUAUGUUUUUUACAGUCAUUAAUUUAUGUUUAUGUUAUUAAUUGUUGUUUUUAAGUACAUGUUUUAAACUUUGUUGUUUAUGUUUAUGCUUUUGAUCAUUAUGUUGAAGUAAAGAUAUGUUAAUCAAGAGUUUGAUGUAAUCAUUAGACUAUUGGUGUCAUGUUUAUUAGAAUUCUUAAACUUGUAAAAUAAAUGACUUCGAUCUUUAUAGAGUUUUUAGUGUCUAAGAGAUCUACGGGAUGUCCAAGAAGGGACUUUAAUUUUGAGUGUUCAGAAGUUAUGGUGGUUCCACACUACCUUGGAGUUUUAGUUAUUCAACUUUCUAUCUUAUCGAGGCAUUCAAUCGAUUAAUUACAUCCAAAAAAUAAAGGAAUGUAGUGGGAUGGUAAGUAUUGUACUCAACCUUAAUCAAAAGUUUGGAGUUCAAAUGUUGGAUUGCAGUCAAUGAAUUACCCCUCAAAGUAGGAUGAAUCCAUAUUAAUCAAAUAUUAAUGAAAUAUUUAUCUCCUUAUAAACAUUAGAUUAAAAGUCACAAAAAAAAAAGUUUUACCCAUAUUGAUUGAAAGAUAAAGAACAAAAUAUGCCUUUUGGCUAUCAAAAUAGUCUCAUCGACUGCGAAAGAUUUUGAACAGGGACUUGCCAGGAAAUCAUUUAAUCCAAAUUGUUUGAGCGACAUACGUUAUUUCAUUGAACUCCAAGAGAUGUGUUUUUAACAUUUAAUUAACUUAUCAAGUACACAACUAAUUAUAUAAGAUGUAUAAUAUUUUGAUUAUGUAUGUAAAGGCCUUGAAUAGGAGAAAAACUCUCGCAAUUGAUGAAUUAAAAUGGUUGUACCACUUUUUGAAAAUACAAAUAUAGACAAUGAAACAAUUACAUAUCUUUUCUAAAGACUAUGGUGAUGAAUAACUAUAGUAAAAUGAAGAAUUAAUAACAAAAUAGCAUAAACACUUAGAAUCAAAUCUUUUGGUUUUAAGAUUAAAAAAAUAUUUCAUUUCAUCUUUGGAUAAAAUAUUCUUGACAAUUUAUCGUAGGGUUGUAUCCACUCGAAAACACUUAUAUUAUCAAAUGUUCAGAAGUAGAUUAUUGACGUAGUUCACCACCGCGCGAAGCGCGGGCAAUUUACCUAGUUAAAGUAUCAAUAGUAAGAAGAAGACAAUAAAAAUACACAUUUUUGUUCAAUUUUGCAUAUUUUAAGUUUUUUUUUUCUUUUUUCAUAUAUUAUUGAAAACAACCCGGGAAUCUCCCGCCCAAAAUCAACUAGCACCUGUAGCAAAUAGAAGCUUUUUUGGGUUGUAAGUUGGUGAAAUUGAAGUUUUGGAAGCUUUCUAAUAUUUGGGGGUUUUUCUUCAAAAGAGGUAAAAUUGUUUGACAAAAAGUACUCUCUCAUUUAUUUUUACUUGUUCAGUAUUGACUUGACACAUCUGUUAAAAAAAUCAGUAGAAUGACAAUUUGAAUAUAAUAAAUUCAAUUUUUACCCCUUCUUCCGAGCAACUCCCUCUUAUAAUCACUAUAUAGUUAAUAACAAGGUAAAUUAUGAACUAAGUAAUAAAUUAUACAUUGAUUUUCUAAAUUGGACAAAGUAAUAGUAGACGGAAGGAGUAUUUGAAUUUGAUAGUAGUGUAUCAAAGAAUUCCACGUUUCGCCUUUGUUGAGUUUUGAACUUGAGAUCUCAUGAUUUUGAAUGCACUUCAUUAACCAUUAGGUCACAUAUUGAGUGAUGUUAGUUAGCUCCUCUUAAAUGCUUCAGACUCUCUUAAUAAAUAUCAUUAGCUCAUCAUAUGUAUUUGUAUCUCUGAUGUACAGGCAAAAUCCAAAGCUAAUAUGAAGUCUAAUGUGUAUAUAUAUGUGGUAUUUUUGAUAAUGAAUAUCUAUAUGAUAAACAUUUUGUUUACUUCAAAGCUGUGUUGGUCGGACUCUUCAAAAAUGUCAACGGAUGUGUGUCGGAUUCUCCAAAAAGUGUAUUUUUGGAGAAUCGGACAGGGGUGCAACAUAAAAUAUGAAGAGUCCGUGCAACUUAGCUUUGAAAUAGUUGUGUAAUACAAACUUUAUCAGUGUCCACUGUGUUGUUUAAGUUAUCUACCCAGGCACUACUAUAAUUGAUACCCUUACAUAAUGGGAAAGAUCAACCAAUAGGAGCUGAGCUGAGCUUUGCUCGAUUGAGGAGUAGUCUCCGAUCUUUUAUUUUCUUUUGGUGUAGCUAUGUAGUUCCUAUUUUAUAUAGAGGAUUGGGUGUCUUGAGAAUUAUAUUUUGUAGGUUUCUCCUUUUUUGGUAUAUGUUUUGUAUACGGCCAAGUUGACCUUGUUAGUAUCAAUGAAAUCUCUUACUUGAUUAAAAAAAAAGAACAAAUAAGAGUCUAUUUGAGUUAGCUGAUUGAAAAUAGUUGAUAAGCACUUUUAAGUGCUAAAAUUAAUUUUAUAAAUAAGUAGUUACGUGUUUUAACCCUUUUCAUGUUUGGCACUACUAACUUAAAAACUACGAGGCAAAAUAUGAUAGUUCUAAUUAGUGUCAUUAUCCAAAUCUCAUAUACUUGACCAACACUUGGAGACUUAAUUAACCUAUUCUUGAAAGGCAGCCUGGUGCACAAGGCAUCCUGUGUUCAUGCCUACGUCCCUAAUGCAAGUAUUUUGAAGCUGAUUAAGCCUAUUCUUAGGACUAAUGAUUUCAAUUUAAGAGGAGAGAUUCUUUUCUCAAACUAAUGAAUGAUAGUUUAGGUGUGUUUCUCACACUUAUAAUAAUUUAGGUAUGAAACUAAAAAAAGGGAUAAUUUAGGUGUGCUUUUGAAACUAAUGAGUGAUAGUUUAGGUGUGUUUCUCACACUCCCAAUAUAAUUUAGGUAUGAAACUCAAAAAAAAAGAAAGAUAGUUUAGACGUGUUUUUGAUACUCAACUCUUUUAAAAAUGAUGUUGUCCUUUUCUUUUCUACGACUUCCAACUAUACAAAAAUAAGACAAACGUGGUAAUGAAAUGAUCUACAUUUGCAAGAAUUAGUCUCCACUAGCGUCAUUCUUCGAACGAAACGUCUCUACCACCAUCUUCAGUACUUAUCCUUAUUUCUAGAAAAAAUUAGAAAGUAGAAAAUGUCUAUUGUCUUGUUAGAAACUAUAAGACAUUUGUAGUUUCUGCUAACACACCUUUCAUAAAUAAAGCUUAAUUAUGGAAGAGACUUUGUCAAGAUAGAGUAAUGCCUGUUUAAGACACCUAAGGUUUUCAUAAAUACACAUUAUUAUCUCCAAAAACACAUACUAGAACUGUCAAUGUGCUUUAUCAAGAACAAAUUAAUCUGCUUUUUUAGUGCUUCACAGUUCUAGAACAUAUUCAUGAUAUGGUAGGCCCAAUUAAGCACUACAAUGAGCUGUGGAAAAGUGAGCUUAUCAUUUGAUUUUUCAGUCCCCCACUUGGGCCCCUCUUUUUACAGUCCCCUUCCCCCUUUCUACAAUUGAAACCAGACUCCACUAUGAAGUCUUUGUCAUCUUGUUGGGUGAAAAGUUGUACUUUUGAAAAAUAGAAAAAAGGACAGUUUUAUCUUUUGAUUCUUUUUUUUCUAUUGCUGUCAGCUGUAGACUGUAGAAAACUAUAGUUGUACCAAUUACAAGCAAAAGAGAUAGAGGCAGAGAAGUCACUGAUCAUUCUUGUUUGCAAAUUGCUCUUAUCAUACAACAGGUGAAAUAAUGUACUUAGUAGAGACUAUUUGAAGUUAGAAACAUUAAUAGUCUCUAAAUUCUUAAAAUCAUUUUUGUGGUUUCCUGUUCUGCUUUGCAGCUUUCAGAAAUGGAGAUUGGCUUAACAGUUGGUGGUGCAUUUCUCUCUUCAGCUUUGAAUGUUCUCUUUGAUAGGCUUGCGCUUCAGGGUGAUCUGUUCAACAUGUUUCAGAAGCAUAAGCAUCAUGUUCAGCUCUUAAAGAAGCUGAGGAUGACUUUGCUUGGCCUGCAGGCUGUGGUAAGUGAUGCACAGAAUAAGCAAGCAUCAAAUCCAUACGUGAGUCAGUGGCUUAAUGAGAUUCAAGAUGCUGUGGACGGUGCUGAGAACUUAAUAGAAGAAGUCAAUUUUGAAGCUUUGAGACUUAAGGUGGAAGGUCAGCAUCAGAAUUUUGCAAACACAAUAAGCAACCAGCAGGUAAGUGACCUCAACCGGUGCUUGAGUGAUGGUUUUUUUCCUUACAUUAAGGAGAAGUUGGAAGACACCAUUGAAACAUUGGAAGAGUUGGAAAAGCAAAUUGGUCGCCUUGGCCUAAGGGAAUAUCUUGAUUCGGGUAAACAAGAUAACAGAAGACCUUCAACUUCUUUGGUUGAUGAAUCUGAUAUCUUAGGUAGACAGAAUGAAAUAGAGGAAUUGAUUGAUCGUUUAUUGUCUGAUGAUGCCAAUGGAAAAAAUCUCUCUGUAGUUCCUGUUGUUGGAAUGGGGGGCGUAGGCAAGACAACACUUGCUAAAGCUGUUUACAAUGAUGAGAAGGUAAAAGACCAUUUUGGUUUAAAAGCUUGGAUUUGUGUGUCUGAAUCAUAUGAUGCUGUCAGAAUAACAAAAGAGCUACUUCAAGAAAUUAGCUCAUCUGACUGUAUGGUUAAUAGCAAUCUUAAUCAGCUUCAGAUCAAAUUGAAGGAAAGCUUAAAAGGCAAAAAGUUUCUUAUUGUUUUAGAUGAUGUCUGGAAUGAAAACUAUGAUGAGUGGGAUGACUUGAGAAACAUUUUUGUUCAAGGAGAUAUAGGAAGUAAGAUCAUUGUGACGACACGUAAGGAGAGUGUUGCCUUGAUGAUGGGUUGUGGGGCAGUCAACGUGGGGACUCUGUCUAGUGAAGUCUCUUGGGCUUUAUUCAAACGACAUUCAUUAGAAAACAGGGGUCCUGAGGAACAUCCAGAACUUGAAGAGGUUGGAAAACAAAUUGCACACAAGUGCAAAGGAUUGCCAUUAGCUCUAAAGGCACUUGCUGGCAUUUUACGCUCCAAAUCAAAUUUGAAUGAGUGGAGAGACAUAUUAAGAAGUGAAAUAUGGGAACUGCCAAGUCAUUCUAAUGGUAUCUUACCAGCAUUGAUGUUGAGCUAUAAUGAUCUUCCAGCACACUUGAAGCGGUGUUUUGCUUUUUGUGCAAUAUAUCCCAAAGAUUAUAUGUUUUGCAAAGAACAAGUUAUUCACCUAUGGAUUGCUAAUGGUCUUGUACCACAGUUGGAUUCAGGUAACCAAUACUUUCUUGAGUUGAGAUCAAGAUCAUUGUUUGAAAGAAUCCCAGAGUCUUCUAAAUGGAAUUCAGAGGAAUUCUUAAUGCAUGACCUUGUCAACGAUUUGGCCCAAAUUGCAUCUUCAAAUCUUUGUAUUAGGUUGGAAGAGAACCAAGGAUCUCAUAUGUUGGAACAAAGUCGACACAUUUCUUAUUCAACAGGAGAAGGUGACUUCGAGAAAUUGAAACCACUCUUCAAAUCAGAGCAGCUUAGGACAUUGCUUCCAAUCAGUAUUCAGCGGAAUUACCUAUUUAAGCUAAGCAAGAGGGUGCUUCAUAAUGUAUUUCCAAGACUAACAUCCUUAAGGGCAUUAUCGUUGUCACCUUAUAAGAUUGUGGAGUUGCCAAAUGACUUGUUUAUCAAAUUAAAGCUCCUCAGAUUUUUGGAUAUUUCUCGGACAAAGAUUAAAAAGUUGCCAGAUUCCAUUUGUGUAUUGUAUAACUUAGAGAUACUUCUCUUGUCAUCUUGUGAUGAUCUUGAGGAGCUACCACUGCAGAUGGAAAAGUUGAUCAACUUGCAUUAUCUUGACAUAAGCAACACUUCUCGCUUGAAGAUGCCGCUACAUCUGAGUAAGUUGAAAAGCCUCCAUGUGCUAGUGGGCGCCAAGUUUCUUCUAGGUGGCCGCAGUGGUUCGAGAAUGGAUGAUUUGGGUGAAGUACAUAACUUGUAUGGAUCUCUAUCAAUUCUAGAGUUGCAAAAUGUGGUUGAUAGAUGGGAAGCUCUGAAGGCAAACAUGAAGGAGAAGAAUCAUGUUGAGAUGUUAUCAUUGGAGUGGAGCAGAAGUAUUGCUGACAAUUCUAAAAAUGAAAAGGACAUACUUGAUGGGCUACAACCAAAUACAAACAUAAAUGAACUCCAAAUCGGUGGAUAUAGAGGAACAAAAUUCCCAAUUGGCUAGCUGAUCAAUCGUUUCUUAAGCUAGUACAAUUGUCUCUUAGCAACUGCAAGGACUGUGAUUCCUUGCCAGCACUGGGACAACUUCCUUCUUUGAAAUUCCUUGCCAUUAGAAGGAUGCGUCGAAUAAUAGAGGUGACUGAAGAAUUCUAUGGUAGUUUGUCUUCCAAAAAGCCAUUUAACUCUCUUGAGAAGCUUGAAUUUGCAGAGAUGCCAGAGUGGAAGCGGUGGCAUGUACUAGGGAAUGGAGAGUUCCCUGCACUUAAGAUCCUUUCAGUUGAAGAUUGCCCCAAGUUGAUUGAGAAGUUCCCCGAAAAUCUUUCUUCUCUGACAGGAUUGAGAAUUUCAAAAUGCCAUGAACUCAGCUUGGAGACACCUAUCCAACUUUCAACUUUAAAAAUAUUUGAAGUUAUUAGUUCUCGUAAGGUUGGAGUUCUUUUUGAUGACACUGAACUGUUUACAUCCCAACUUCAGGAAAUGAAACAUAUUGUUGAAUUGUUUUUUACUGAUUGUAACUCGCUUACCUCCUUACCUAUUAGCAUUCUGCCAAGUACCUUGAAGAGAAUACACAUAUAUCAGUGCGAGAAACUGAAAUUGGAGACGCCAGUUGGUGAGAUGAUUACUAAUAACAUGUUUCUCGAGGAGUUGAAACUGGAUGGAUGUGAUUCCAUAGAUGAUAUAUCACCUGAGUUGGUCCCAAGAGUAGGCACUUUGAUAGUUGGGCGUUGCCACAGCCUUACUAGACUUUUGAUUCCUACUGAGACUAAAAGCCUCACUAUUUGGUCUUGUGAGAAUCUUGAAAUACUUUCAGUAGCAUGUGGGGCUCGGAUGACGUCGUUGCGUUUUUUGAAUAUUGAAAACUGUGAGAAGCUGAAGUGGCUGCCUGAAUGCAUGCAGGAACUCCUUCCAUCUCUUAAUACGCUGGAACUCUUUAAUUGUCCAGAAAUGAUGUCCUUUCCUGAAGGAGGAUUGCCCUUCAAUUUACAAGUCCUUUUAAUCUGGAAUUGCAAGAAACUGGUGAAUGGCCGAAAGAAUUGGCGUUUACAGAGGCUCCCCUGUCUUAGAGAGUUAAGGAUCGAACACGAUGGCAGUGAUGAUGAGAUUCUUUCUGGUGAGAAUUGGGAGUUGCCUUGCUCUAUUCAACGUCUUUACAUAUCUAAUCUGAAAACUUUAAGCAGCCAAGUUCUCAAAAGCCUCACCUCUCUUGCAUAUCUAGAUACUUAUUAUUUACCUCAAAUUCAGUCACUGCUGGAAGAAGGGCUUCCCUCAUCUCUUUAUGAGCUACGUUUAGAUGACCAUCAUGAGCUUCAUUCACUACCGACCGAAGGUUUUCGACACCUCACUUCGCUUCGACGUCUAGAGAUCAGGCACUGCAAUCAACUCCAAUCUCUUUCAGAAUCAACUCUGCCCUCCUCCCUCUCUGAGCUGACCAUCGGGUAUUGCCCUAAUCUCCAGUCCCUUCCAGUAAAAGGGAUGCCCUCUUCCCUCUCUAAACUACAUAUUUACAACUGCCCGUUGCUCAAACCACUACUAGAAUGUGACAAGGGGGAGUACUGGCAAAAAAUUGCUCAUAUCUCCACCAUAGAGAUCGAUUGGAAAUACUUGUAAUGAUUAAAAGGAAUGGCGCUCUCACAAAUGUAAGUUUUUCUUUUCUCUCAGAAGCUUUUUAUUUUUGUUUACUUCCCUUUGUUUUUUUUUAAAUUCUUUUCCUUUCUUAAAUCUUGUGGAGCAGUAUGGAUCCUCUAUUGCUUUAACCACGUCUAGUUUGAUAAGAGGGCUUUCUGGCUAAAAAUUGCUCAUAUUUCCACCGUAAUAUUUAUUGGGAGUACCUGUAAUGAUUAAAACGAGUGGUGCUCCAAUAUAUGUAAGUUAUUCUAUUUUUUUAGUAUCUUCAGAUUUUUGGUAACUUCUCUUUGCUUGUUUGUUAUUAAAUCUUUUUGAUCAGUGUGUAGCAUGAGUAGCAUCUAUUGCCUCUGUGAAGUUGAGGAAGCAUCUAAAGUUCAGGAUGAAAUCUUUAUAUUUGCACUGAAACAUUGGAAAAUAAAUCUAGUAUAGGUAGGAAUUGAGAUAAUUUGCUCCAGAAAGUUGAUAUUAAUAUAUGUCAGCAAGAUGUUUAUUGCCUUUGGAGAUUCAUCUCAAGCGCAAUUAUCAAACUUUGAUCAAGCUCAAUAUUGAACUUCAAUGGUGGAUUUGGUGCGUUCCUGAGAAAACAUGAGAAGGAGUAACCAACUCCAUUAUUUGGAGAAUCAAUCUCGGAAAUGAACUCAUUACUUCAUUUCAUUUCUGAUGUGUGAUAUAUAUGUACAAGUGAAAGGAGUGCCAGCUGGAAACAGCUAAUCUAUUCUAUUAUUACCUUCCUAAUAAACUUCUAACCAACAAAGGCCAUUCCUAAUCCUAACACUUAUUAACAACUAACUACUGUUCAGCAUGUGUAGAUAAAAUAUCUAAGCUAAUCGUUAAUACAAUUUAUACAUUCUUGUUAUUUAUCUCUCACUCUUCAUCAUACUUGACUAUUAUAUUCUCUUUUCUUUUCUAUAAGCUUAUGUUCUCCCUCAAGUCUUGUAGACUGGAAUAUUAUUCGCCAUCAUGAAAGUUGUUCCACAUUUUUCAUCUCUUCUACAGAGAUAAAGGGUCCAAAAAAUGUCACCUCACUUUCUCAAUCAGGUAGCCAAGACAUUGAAAAGAGUUACUUCAAUGCACUUCAUUGACCAAUAGGCCACAUAUGAGUGAAUUUAGUUACCUCCUCUGAUAUGUUUCACACUCGUUAGAUAAAUGUUAUUAGCUCAUCAUAUGUAUUUAUAUCUCUGAUGUACAGUCAAAAUCCAAGGCCAAUAUGAUGUCUAAUGUGUAUACAUGUGGUAUUUUUGAUAAUGAAUAUCUAAAUGAUAACAUUCUGUUUGCUUUGAAGUAAUCCAAACUUUUUCAGUGUCCACUAUGUUGUUUGAGUUAUCUAGCCCAAAUUGAGGCACUAUGAUACCCUUACAUAAUCCUUCUCCAAGGAUAUUUCAGUGUUGGUGAACUCAUUGCUAUAUUUUCCUUGCUCUUUUCUUUUCUCUGUUCCCAUUCACAGAGUUGAGAGAAAGCAAAUCUAAAAGGAAGUCAGGAUUAUGAACGCUCAAGAAUCUAGAAAAAAGGCUAAGCUGAAAGAUCAACCUGCUGAAAAUGGGAAAGACCAACUGAUAGAAAAUGGAACGAAGAUGUACAAGCUAGAGAAAACUAUCAAGGGGAGGAUAGUGUUAAUGAUUAAGGAUAUUUUUGCACAGACUAAAAGGAUUAGGAAGUUGGUCUAUUUCCAUUUUAUGUUCCUCAUCAACACUGAAAUCUGUAAUACUGUCUUCGUAGAUGUUGGGUGGUAGUUGAGUUAUGACUCAUGGAGGAGCAAAAAUGAAAAUAUUCAUGAAUCUUCUAUAGAUUGACAAAGGAAAUUAAACUAGAACAAAGCCUACAGUUAUUUUAAUUUCAUUGUCCAUGUAGUUUUUUUUUUGUGUGUGUUAUUUUUAUGUUUCUUCAAUUGUGUCUUUCUUCAAUGAAACGUGCACUUCAAUUUGCGCUGAUACUUGCUCUCUUCUAGCUCUGUGAUUCCUCUCCUAGCUGAUCUGUAAUAAACCUAUAUGAUCAUUUUAUGGGAGUAAAACCGUACGUCAUUAUGGAAGCAUUUUUACUCUCUUGCUCCACUAUCCAGUGAAAUCUGAUAUACGCAUGUCUGUUGCAAGUUAUCAAUUAGCAAUUACAGAAAUUGUUGAGUAUGGAGGCAGAUAUGAUGAUGGAAUGAACCUAAACAAGAAAAAGGAAAAAAAGAUACCUUUACUCAAUUUUUUGAACUCUUCUUUCUCCCAAAAAAAUAAAUAAAAAUCUUUGUACAAUUGCUCUGGACAUCUAUGAACAUCAAUGUAUGAGUGUUUCAGCUUCAGGAAGGCUUUGGAGAUAAACUGAGAUGGAAGUUUGGAAUCGCUUCCAUGUAUGUUUCUCGUAGGCUCUCCAACAAGGCAUGGUUCUAAUCUAGGAGUACAGAGCAGCUGAAAGCGUCUACAUCAAGGUGAUAUUCAGUUGUUCUUAUAACUAAUAACUACCCAUAUUGGGUGGAGACAAGUUUUUCCCCAACUAAAUAUGGCACUAUUGCUAUAUUAAACUAAUCGGAAACAACCUCUCUAUCUAUAAGAGGUAGGGGUAAAGUCUGUGUAUACUCUACCCUCCUCACUUGUGAGAUUACACUUGGUAUGUUGUUGUAGUUGGUACUCCCUUCAUCAGUUUUUGCUUCAGUAUAAGGGGAAAAAAGCUAUUUCUUAGUCUAUGGUUUGUAGUUUUAGCAAAAUUGCACAUUGCUAACCAUUGUCGAUAAAACAACAGUGUAUUGUACCUUUUUGGGGUUGAUACUACCAGGUUGGAGUUGUGCAUGUUUCUUGCUUUUCGUAAUUUUUUGCUUUGUCAUUUUAAGUGAAGAUAUGAGAAUCUCCAGAACAAUAAUAGCCUCCACUAGUGGCGGUCCAAUUUUUUGGGAUAGUGUUGUACAUGGACCCAAAUAGAGACUGUGAUGAUAAUGUUCUGGAGAAGAUUGCUGGAGUUGUCUUGACUUUGCAAAUAACAUUAAUGUCUUUCAUUUAUUGUAAAAAAUAAUAUGAAUAGAGAAAAAAUAAAACAUAAUUAUUCUUUCUAUAAUUGUCAACUAUACAAACGUAGUAAUGAAUGAUCAAACAUAGUCUAUAGUUGCAGAAAACAUCUCUACCACUAGCUACCUCAGCUUAUCCUUAUCUCUGGCAAGAAUGUGAGAGAAAAAAAAAGUUAUAUUCAAAACUAUAAGAUGCUGGUAAUUUCUGCUAAAGCACACAACUUCUUAAUAUUAUUUAGCGAUUAAUACAUAAAAUAAAGUGUUAUGUAGAGACUGUUUCAAGGUAGAGCGAUAUCUUAACACACCUAGGUUGUUAUUUUAAAUACCUAUUACUAUCUCCAAAACACAUAUUGUACUAGAACUGCUAAUGUUUGGUCUUUCUAUUCUCAAACUCUGUAAUAUUUAAGGAAAUUCAAGAUUUGGAUGUCAUCAGGCAAAAUUCGAUAGUACUAAUCAGUGUCAUGAUCCAAAUAUCAUAGGUUGUAACCGACACUCAGCGACUUACCCUAUCCUUAGGACUAUUAAUUUCAUUUUAUGACAAGAGAAAAGAAGCUUGAAAAUGAUGUAGGCCUUUUCUUUUGUAUGACUGGGAACUAUACAAAAACAAGACAAACGUUGUAAUGAAUGAUCCACAGUUGCGCAGACAAGGUUUGGGUGUUUAGUUAGGAUGGGUUGGUUGAUUGAUUGGUGAGAAUUGAAUAGUAUCAUUUACUUUUGGCACAACUUGUGCUGUCUUAUGUGGCCCCAUGUUGUAGUCCAUUCCCUUUCAAUGACACAAUAGAGCACAAGGUUGGAGAGAACUGAUGUAUAUAAGUUCUAACAGAUUUAUGUUAUUGAAUCUUUACUUAAUAAUCCUACUGAGUUAAAAUAUAAGUAGGCAUUGGUAGUUUCUGCUAAAACACCUUUCAUAGAUCAUACUUGUGGUUAUUAGUGUAGCAAUUAAUUGGUAAAAUAAAGCUUAAUUAUGGAUAGAAUACAAAAACACAUACAUACUAGAAAUGCUAAUGUGCUAACUCUGUCACUAAACAUUAAGCUAUAACAUACAUGAUCUUCCCCCAAUUAGUUUUGGUACAACUUGUGCUGUCUUGGUCAACUUCUACAUCCCUAAGUUCCCUUCCUCUCUUGCUUCAAUUAUUCAAUUGAGAAAGUAAUGAAUAGCCAAGAUACCAGACUCCAAUAUCAAGUCUCCGUCUUCUUGUUGGGUGAAAAGUCAAACUUUUGGAAAAGAGAAAAAAAAGGACAGUUUUUUAUUUUUUCUUAUCUAAUGACUGUCAGCUGUGGAUUGUAGUUAAUAGUACCAAUUACAAGUAAACCACUAGCAAAAGAGAGAGAGAGAGAGAGAGGGGGAGAUCAGUGAUCAUUCUUAUUUGCAAAUUACUCUUAUCAUUCAACAGGUAAAAUAAAGCUUUUAGUAAAGAAACAGUCAGUGGCAGACCCAGGAUUUUCACGAAGUGGGUUCAAGAUAUAAAAUAUACCUAGUAUUAUUUGUUAUUUUUAUGAGGCUAACAACAUACAUAUCUGACUAUACUAAACAAUGUUAAUACAUUUGUAAUUUUUUUUUACAUUGACUUAUGAAUGAGACGGUAAAUAACAAGAUGGACGAAAAACUAGGCUUACAAUAUAAACUAAAAAAUAAAAGAAUAUUAUGAAUGAUUUCUCUUCAUUCAACAUUUAACAAAUAAAACAAAAUAUUAAACAAAAUAAUUAUAACCUUAAUUUCAUAAUCGAAUACAUAGAAAUAUACCUAAUAUUAUUUGUAAUUUUUUGUUGAUUUUAGAAUGAUAAGGGAUUUUUUAGUUGAAGAAAUAAAAAAUAACCACAAUAAUCAUAUAUGUAUAUAUAAAGACUAGAAUCAAGAGCAAAAAACAUUCAACAAAGAAGAAGACAAGGGUUUUUAGAAUUGAGAAUAAUAGGGAUUAGUGCCUUUUUGGUUGAGUUUUUUUUUUUUUAAAAAAAAAAAAAAACAAAGGACAAAAGUUGUUGACUAUUGGACUUUUAAUUGUAAAAGUAAAAAGUUGUUCUACUUUUUAUAGUUUAUAAGCAACUAAAAGGACAAAAGUUACACCUACAUAGAGGACAAAACUGUGUGUGAACGUUUUAUAUAUCAAAAAAAUGAAUGAAAACUAAAAUGUGGCAAUGGGGAUUUGAUCCCGGGUUGGCUGGGAAAAUUGAACCCCCUCAACCACUCGGCUAAGCUUCAGACUUGUGUUAGUGGGUUCAAAAUUUAAUAUAUACAUAUAAAAUUUUAAAAACUGAUUAAAUAUACAUAUAUAUACAGUGUUAUUUUUCAACGAAGUGGAUUCAUAUAUAUUAUAGUUGAGAAAUUCAAAAAGGGUUACACAAGAAAUAAACAACAUAAUUUAGUAACAUAGCAAAUACAAGUUUAUUCUCUUAUUGAAUUACAAGCCACUUGUGACAUGAAUGCACAUGUUUAGUAAGCUCCAAUGCAAUAUUUCUCUUCAUCAUCAUGAACAUGAUCAUUAUCAUCAAGAGGAGUAGCAAAUUGGAGAAAGUCCUUGUCUUGUUCAAAAAUGGACAUUUGUUGUUCAUUCAAGUUGAUAAACACUUCAAUUCCUUUACUUUGAUCAUGUGUAUUCAUCAAGUAUAACACAUUGUUAAUUGGAGCACUUGCCAUGCUUGCUCUACUUGGCCUCCCCCAUCCAAAAUCCAAAUCUUGAUAUGGCAUGUUACAUAUGCUACUACAACGAUACACAUCGUGACAUGAACUCUUCUGAAGAUACAAUUGAGCAUCCUCUAUUCCUGUAUUAACUUUAUUUGUGUAUUCCAACAUUUUUUAUAUUCAUGUGUUGUUUUUGAAAUUAUCUUUGUUAGAAAGCUCGAGUUUGGACUUUCUUAUAUCAGAUACUAACUUUGGUAACCUAAGGUCUUCUAGGUUAUAUGUUGGUGUGGAGAACGCAGUGAGAAUAUUUCCUAUUGUGGUGGUGGAUUGUAUUGAAAGUGGAAUUAUUUUUCGUAAAUCUGAUACCAAGACCAAUUGAGACGAAGAAUCAUUACUACUAUUACCAGUAUUUGAUAAGUUUGCACCUGCAGUUGCUGCACAUUUGUAAAAAAGUGCACUUACAACCUCAGUUGUUGUUGGAUUUUGAACGGUUGAUGAUUUAUCAGAAGAGAUGAAAGCUUUGAGAUUUCUUAUCUUGGAUUCAGAUAAGAAAAACCUUUUUUCAAAGUCGAUACUAUCUUGUGUAUUUGGCUCAACCAUAACCGGAAAAUCUAGAGGACCAUCAAGUCGUGAUGGGAUUAAUGAAUCUUGACGUAACAAGGAGCACAUGCUAAUUCUCCAUUUGGAUAUUCUCGAGUUAACGUAGCCCAAUCCUUUAGAAAGAAGAAUGCACUACGUGCAUCACCCACCUUAUGUGACAUGCAAACACUGACUGCUAUUCCUCCACACUCAAAGUGGCUAAGUUGAGCUACGCUCAAACAACCACCAUCAUGUGCUGGAGGAACAUUCCUCCAGGGUAGCCCUGGAGGAAAUGCUAAGUCUGGGUGAUGAACGACUUGAUCCAUAGGACAAUUAACUUCAACUUCAAAGAACUCAGCCCCAGUGUCAUCACAAUGGAUGGUGGCAUUGUCACGUAAACUUCCAACCCAUGGUUGAUGAUAUGAUAUUGCUUUUGAAAAUGAGUUCUCAAGAAAUUUAGAGAGGUGUUUAGGUCCUUGUUGUAGUUGGUGUUUUGGGUAAAAUAAGACAAUAGGCAUAUAAAAAUUACCCAUACAUUGAUCAAGAAGGGAAAGUUUGUGUAUUCUUUGAGUUGAUGGGGUGGGAAAAAAUGGUUUCACAAUUUUCUUGGAGAUUGUUGAUAUCAAUCUUGAAAAAUUAGCCAUAUUUAAUUUUGCAUGCAAAAUUUAAAAUCUCUCACUUAUGCACUUGUUGUCUUAGUUUUUUGUUACUAUAUAUAUAUAGACACCCAAUACACCAACCUUUAAAUUUAAUAUAUGUAUAUAUAGACAUAGAACACCAACCUUUAAUACUAGCAAAAAACUUUAAACAAAACUUAUAUCUUUCUCCUUUUUUAUUUUAAUAUUAAAGAAAAGUGAGUUCUAUGUGAAAUUAAUAGUCAAAUUUGGACUACCAUACUAUAUCUUUUUUUUUUUUAAGUCAUCACAUGCAGGUGUACCAUUUCUUAUUUCAAGGUGAGGUGGAUGAAAAACCUAUAUUCUCUCUGUUUAUUCUUAUUUGUUCGCAUUAACACCAACCUUUAAUACUAGCAAAAAACUUUAGACAAAACUUAUAUCUUUCUCCUUUUUUUUUUUUUAACAAAAAAGAGUCAAAAGUCUAUGUGAAAUUAAUGGUCAAAUUUGGACUUACCAUACUAUAUCUUCUUUUUUUUUAAGUCAUCACAUGCAGGUGUACCAUUUCUUAUUUCAAGGUGAGGUGGAUGAAAAACCUAUAUUCCUUCUGUUUAUUUUUAUUUGUUCGCAUUUGACUUAAUAUAUUUAUAUAUAAUAAUUUUAUUAUAUAAUUCAAUUAGUUUUUUUAUUUUAUAAAAUACUAUAUAUCCUAUUAUUUUUAGCCAUCUCACUCAUUGAGAGAUAAAUUGAAAAAAAUUAUUUAAUAAUUAUAAGAUAAAUAUAUAUAAAAUAAUAAAUUGUCUUUGAUUUUUAAACUUAGAUAUUUAUUUUUAGUAUAGUUAACACUUAAAAAGUGGACGGAGAGAGAGUAUAAAACAUUGCCGCAAAUUUGAUUUCUUAAUUCAAUUUCAAAUUUAUAAAUUCAACCAUCCUUUAAAUAAUGUGUAAACUUAACUUUUUCUACUUUUUUAUUGUUUCUUUUUGCGUAUUUUCAACGUGAUAUGAUACAAUACAAGGUAAUAUACUAUAAAUACUGCAAAAAAGUUGAACAUAUUAAAAACCUUAUAUUUGCUUUAGUUAUCAGUGUAAAAUUACCCAUGCUUCGCGUGGGAAUUUGAUAUCACAAAAUUUAUAAAAUAAUACUUAAAAUCUAUCACUCAUUAAAACUAAAACACUAUAUUGUCUUACAUACAAGAUUACGUAGUAAGGUACAUUAAUAACGUAAAGGAAAAUGAUAAUUACUAUUAAUAACGUACAUGUGCUGAUGUGCAUAUAUAAUAUACUAUAAAUACUGCAAAAAAGUUGAACAUAUUAAAAACCUUAUAUUUGCUUUAGUUAUCAGUAUAAAAUUACCCACGCUUCGAGUGGGAUUUUGAUAUCACAAAAUUUAUAAAAUAAUACUUAAAAUCUAUCACUCAUUAAAACUAAAACACUAUAUUGUCUUACGUACAAGAUUACGUAGUAAGGUACAUUAAUAACGUAAAAGGAAAUGAUAAUUAUAACAUCUUAUCAUUUAUCCUUCAAUCAAUCAUCUUUAAUUUGAUUUUAUACUUUAUCCUUUUGCCUCUAGGAAGUGUUACUAUUUGGUAUUUUUGGAAAAUUAGAUGAACAUCAACAUGAGAUAUUAAAUUUUCUAAUAAAUAAUCUUUAUCUGUACUAACAAAUACUUAUAUACAAUAACUUUACAUAAACAUAAACAAUAAAGUUUAAAACAUGUACUAAAAAAUCACAAUUGAUAUCAUAAGCAUAAAUUAAUGACUGUAAAAAAAUAUACCAGGAUCUAUAAUAAUAGAAUGAAACAGAAAGGAAAAAAUUGAGCCCGCUGGAUGCACAUUGUCCCCUUAAGGAAAUUAUUCUCAUCUAGUACCCGGGGUUUAAAAGAAUAGAUCCUCUCAGGAUGAAACGAUUCCAUUCACAAGUAUAUUGAUACGAAAAUAAUGGUAUCAGUGAGCCACUCAACAAGAGCAAAGUACAUGAAUAUUUAAUUGUGCAGAAGAAGAAGACAUUUAGAAUUUUCGUUGUUUUAAAAUGAGAGGAAAUCCCUCUAUUUAUAUAUAGACAACAAAGGGUAGUGUGAAUAAAUGCUUAUUGUGCCUUAUCAGAAAUUUCACAACUCUUUCGAAAAAGUUACAACCUUUCAUAAAAGUCAUAAUUUUUCAUAAAAGUGACAACUAUUUAUAAAAGUUGCAACUCUUCAUAAAAGUCACAUAUUUUCAUGAAAGGGGAAGACUAUUUUUGGAAAUAAGUAAAUUUAAAAGGAAAUUUUAGCUUGUGGUGGCGCCACGUAGGUGGGCAUAGGGUUGUCUUUUAUAUAAAUAUAUAUGAUAUAUGAUUUCCUUUAUAUAAUGGUGGUGUCCAAUAAUAAUAAAUUAUUAUUGUAUGCAUUCGCGGAGCUAGAAAUUUCAUGAAGGAUGUCCAAGAAUUAUAUAAGCAAAAAAAAAAGUUGAUGAAUGGAUGCACUGGAAAAUUCAAAAAUCAAAUCGUAUAUGUAUCUUUAAUAUUUGUUUUUAAUUUAAAUAUGAAGUAAAUGAACACUGUAAAAAAAAUAGAAGGGGGGGGGGGGGAGGGUUCAACUUAUAAUGAAAGAAAUAAAAAAUCAAAUUCAUUGAAAAUUCAAUUAGCUUUAUUAGAUUUUUAAUUUAUAGAUUUCUAAGAAAUUUACUAACUAUUAUUAAUUUAUAGAUUUUUAAGAAAUUUACUAACUACUCCCUCUGUCCCUAAUUACUUGUCCACUUUUUCUAUUAUAGUUGUCCCUAAUUACUUAUCCAUUUUGACAAAUCAAGAAAUGACAAUUUUUUUUAUCUAUUAUAUCCUCAAUUAAAUGACUAAUUACUUUGAAAAAUGGACUUUUCAUCCAAUUCAUAAUUAAUAGGGAUAAAAUGGUAAACUCACUAUGUCAUUAAUUGAUUUCUUAAUAGGUGUGUCAAUUCAAAAGUGGACAAGUAAUUAGGGACAAAAGGAGUAUUAUUUAAGAAAUAAUUAAAUAUGAGUUCUUUAAAAAAUUAUUAUAAAGGAUUAGUAGCUGCAGGGAUUCGAACCUGCGCACCAGGGAGCCUCUGGCCAGUGAGCCAGUCUAACUUAUUGUGUCAAAGAGGUCCAAAGUAUUAAAUUUAACCAUUUUAAAUAGCAUUUUACGUAUAGGACUAUUCCCUCAACAUAGUGUAGCUCCGCCCCUAAAUUUGAUUGUCAAAGUCAACAAAAAAUGAGUAAACUAUAACCAAGUCAAGAAGGAGACAGCUAAGCUGUGGAAAUUGCAAUCUUUUUGAAAAGAGCACAAACAUUGUUUCUCUUUUCUUUCUUUGACCAAAGAGAUAGCUAUUGCAAAUUAAGAACACAGUCAGUAUACUCCUCCCAUAUUGUUUGCAUAUUGCUCUAGUAUUCAACAGGUAAAUUUUAUCUCUUAAUUCCUAGCAAAAAUAGACAGCCAUCUUUAAUUUUUGCCAUUCUUUGAUUCUUUGUUUUGUUUUGCAGAUUUCAGAAAUGGAUAUUGGCUUAGCAGUUGGUGGUGCAUUUCUCUCUUCAGUCCUGCAAGUCCUAUUCGAUAGGCUUGCUCCUCAGGGCGAGCUGCUGAAGAUGUUUCGAAGGGACAAGCAUGAUCUUCGGAUUUUAAAGAAGCUGAAGAUGAUUUUGCUCAGUCUUCAGGCUGUACUAAGUGAUGCAGAGAAUAAGCAAGCAUCACUUAGUUUACAAUGAUGAGAAGGUAAAAGACCAUUUUGAUUUGAAAGCUUGGAUCUGUGUGUCUGAACCAUAUGAUGCUGUCAGAAUAACAAAUGAGCUACUUCAAGAAAUUGGAUCAUUUGACUGUAUGAUUAAUAACACCCUUAAUCAACUUCAGAUCGAAUUGAAGGAAAGCUUGAAAGGCAAAAAGUUUCUUAUUGUUUUAGAUGAUGUCUGGAAUGAUAACUUUGAUGAGUGGGAUGGCUUGAGAAAUACAUUUGUACAAGGAGAUAUAGGAAGCAAGAUCAUUGUGACGACACGUAAGGAGAGUGUUGCCUUGAUGAUGGGUUGUGGGGAAAUGAAUGUGGGCACUCUCUCUAGUGAAGUUUCUUGGGCUCUAUUCAAACGACAUUCAUUAGAAAACAGGGAACCUGAGGAACAUACAAAACUUGAAGAGAUCGGAAAACAAAUUGCACACAAGUGCAAAGGAUUGCCUUUAGCUCUAAAGGCAAUUGCUGGUAUUUUACGCUCCAAAUCCGAGGUGGAUGAGUGGAAAGACAUUUUAAGAAGUGAAAUAUGGGAGCUGCCAAGUCGUUCGAAUGGAAUCUUACCAGCAUUGAUGUUGAGCUACAAUGAUCUUCCCGCACAUUUGAAGCGGUGUUUUGCUUUUUGUGCAAUAUAUCCGAAAGAUUAUCUAUUUUGCAAAGAACAAGUUAUUCACCUGUGGAUUGCUAAUGGUAUUGUACAGCAGUUGGAUUCAGGUAACCAAUUCUUUGUCGAGUUGAGAUCAAGAACAUUGUUUGAAAGGGUCCGAGGGUCUUCUGAAUGGAAUCCGGGGGAAUUCUUAAUGCAUGACCUUGUCAAUGAUUUGGCCCAAAUUGCGUCUUCAAAUCUGUGUAUCAGGUUGGAAGACAUCAAAGCAUCUCAUAUGUUGGAACGAACUCGACACUUGUCAUAUUCAAUGGGUGAUGGUGAUUUUGGUAAACUGAAAACCCUCAACAAAUUGGAGCAAUUGAGAACAUUGCUUCCCAUCAAUAUCCAGCGGUGUUUAUGCCGUCUAAGCAAAAGGGGGCUGCAUGACAUAUUGCCAAGACUAACAUCCCUAAGGGCACUAUCACUAUCUCAUUAUAAGAUUGAGGAGUUGCCGAAUGACUUGUUUAUCAAAUUUAAGCACCUAAGAUUUUUGGACCUUUCUUGGACAAAGAUAAAAAAGUUGCCAGAUUCAAUUUGUGUACUGUACAACUUAGAGACACUUCUCUUGUCACAUUGUAGUUAUCUCAAGGAGCUACCUCUGCAGAUGGAAAAAUUGAUCAACUUGUGUCACCUUGACAUUAGCAAAGCUCAAUUGAAGACACCUCUACAUCUGAGCAAGUUGAAAAAUCUCCAUGUGCUAGUGGGAGCUAAUUUUUUUCUUACUGGUUCCAGUGGUUUGAGAAUUGAAGAUUUGGGUGAACUACAUAACUUAUAUGGAUCUCUAUCAAUUAUAGAGUUGCAAAAUGUGAUUGAUAGAAGGGAAGCUCAUGAAGCAUACAUGAGGGAAAAGGAAGAUGUUGAAAAGUUAUCAUUGGAGUGGAGUGUAAGUAUUGCCAACAAUUCACAAAAUGAAAGAGCCAUACUUGAUGACCUACAACCAAAUACAAACAUAAAAGAACUCCAAAUCGCCGGAUAUAGAGGGACAAAAUUUCCAAAUUGGCUAGCUGAUCAUUCAUUUCAUAAGCUAAUGGAAUUGUCUCUUAGCUACUGCAAGGACUGUGAUUCCUUGCCAGCGCUAGGACAGCUUCCUUCUUUGAAAUUCCUCACCAUUAGAGGGAUGCAUCAAAUAACAGAGGUGAGUGAAGAGUUCUAUGGUAGUUUGUCCUCCAAAAAGCCAUUUAACUCCCUUGAGAAGCUUGGCUUUGCAGAGAUGCCGGAGUGGAAGCAGUGGCAUGUACUGGGUAAUGGAGAAUUUCCUAUACUUGAAGAACUUUGGAUUAAUGGUUGCCCAAAGUUGAUUGGGAAGUUGCCUGAAAAUCUUCCUUCUCUGACACGAUUGAGAAUUUCAAAAUGCCCUGAACUCAGUUUGGAGACACCUAUCCAACUUUCAAAUUUAAAAGAGUUUAAAGUUGUUGGUUGUCCUAAGGUUGGAGUUCUUUUUGAUGAUGCUCAACUGUUUACAUCUCAACUUGAGGGAAUGAAGCAGAUUGUUGAAUUAUCUAUUACUGAUUGUCACUCUCUUACCUCCUUACCUAUUAGCAUUCUGCCAAUUACUUUGAAAAAAAUAGAGAUACAUCUGUUAGCAUGAUAGAUAACUAAAUGAUUGUAUAUAUUAAUGUAAUUAUAAAGUGAUAUAAAUUAGCAUGAUCAUAUACAUUUGUUGUAGAAUCAUAUGAAUAAAUAUUGUGAUAGAAUAGCUGAUUUGGAGGGAUAGCAAGGCAGAUUUAGAGGGAUUCAAUGGCAGAUUUGUAUAGAUAGAAUAGUUGAUCUUUAGGGAUAGGAAUGGCGGAUCUUUAGGGAUGUGUAAUCUUUAUUUUCUCUAUAUAAUGGAAAGACUCUCUCACUUUGAGAGGAUUCAGCUGAAAAUUGACAACAUCGUUGCAGGAAAUUGAAAUUGGAGAUGCCAGUUAGCGGAUGUUGUAACAUGUUUCUGGAGAAUUUGCAACUGCAUGAAUGUGAUUCUAUAGAUGAUAUAUCACCUGAGCUGGUCCCAAGAGCACGUUCUUUGAGGGUAGAGCAAUACUGCAACCCAAGGCUUUUGAUUCCUCCUGGGACGGAAGAACUUUGUAUUUCUUUAUGUGAAAAUCUUGAAAUACUUAUAGUGGCAUGUGGGACUCAGAUGACAUCAUUGGAUAUUUACAACUGCAAGAAGCUGAAGUCGCUGCCUGAGCAUAUGCAGGAACUCCUUCCAUUUCUUAAGGAACUGACGCUGGAUAAAUGUCCAGAAAUAGUGUCCUUUCCAGAAGGAGGAUUGCCCUUCAAUUUACAAGUCCUUUGGAUCAAUAAUUGCAAGAAACUGGUGAAUCGACGCAAUGAGUGGCGUUUACAGAGACUCCCCUCUCUCAGACGGUUAGGGAUCAGCCAUGAUGGCAGUGACGAAGAGGUUCUUACAGGGGAAAACUUUGAGUUGCCUUGUUCUAUUCGAUGUCUUUACAUAUCCAAUCUGAAAACAUUAAGCAGCCAACUUCUCAAAAGUCUCACCUCUCUUGAAUCUCUAUGUGUUAAUAAUUUACCUCAAAUGCAGUCACUGCUGGAAGAAGGGCUUCCCUUGUCUCUUUCUGAGCUUGAAUUAUAUUUCCAUCAUGAUCUCCAUUCGCUACCGACCGAAGGUCUUCGGCGCCUCAAGUGGCUUCAAAGUUUAGCAAUUUUUCGCUGUCCUAAUCUCCAAUCUCUUGCCAGAUUGGGGAUGCCCUCCUCACUCUCUGAGCUGGUCAUUAUUGAUUGCCCUAGCCUCCGAUCUCUUCCAGUAAAUGGGAUGCCCUCUUCCAUCUCUACACUAACUAUUUACAAAUUCCCAUUGCUCAAACCUCUCCUAGAAUUUGACAAGGGAGAAUACUGGCAAAAAAUUGCUCAUAUUUCCACCAUAAAUAUUGAUGGAGAAUUCCAGUAAUGGUACUCUAGAUAAAUGUAAGUUAAUUCUUUCUUCUUCUUUUUUUGAAUUUUUGUUUACUUCCCUUUGCUUUCUUGUUAAUUCAAUCUUGCUUCUAUCAUUUAAGGCGUGUAAUAUCGCAUUGAUUUCAAGUUUGAUGCUACUGCAUUUGAUAGUAUACACUGAGCUUUUGUAAGUAUUUGGAUCUUUAGCACAAUUGCUUUUGUGUUUGUGUGUAUAUAAACCGAAAAAACUGAAACUGAAAGCCUGACUAACCUUUACUUGUUUGAAAAAUUGAUGUAGUGUAUGCAUACUUGGUGAAUUGACCAAAUUUGGUGCUUAUCCCUCACCCACAGUACCCAGAUCAAUGUAAAGCAGUGUCCAUCAUCUGUCAUGCAUCUAUAGAUUAAUGGUCACUACAUCUGAUAUCCUAAAAACUUCUUUCUUUCAUUUUUUUCUGUUUCAUAUUAAUGUUUCUUAAUACAAGUAAUCUUAUAGAGAGAUUCCGGGCCUCUGCAACUCCUCAAACACGUGGCCACUUUUCUCGAUGUAACACUACAGCAACACUUUCCUCACAGAUACUCCUACUAUUUCCUUCAACUCUCUCCCAAUCUAAUAUCCAACUUUAUAUAAUUAAUAACCGAAUAUAUACUAGUGUGACAAGACUUGUGCAGUUCUGAUUAAGCAUGUUCAUAGGCAACGGAACUUGGGUCACAGACUUACAGCUUGUCCUCUUACUCGGAAAGAGGUGUAAUCUGCUCCUUCAAACCUUUCCUCCUGCAGAUAUCAAUGACUAGAAAAUGAGUUCUCGAGAGUUUCCAAUGGAUCGGAUGGCAUCAUAUCCCAGUGAUUGAAAACACAUUGUGGGAAGGCUUUCCCUGAAGUAGCAGCUGUCAAACUAUACAAGAAACCGAAUGACUCGAUAAAAGGAAGGUAUGCCUUGAUGUCCUAAAUAGGGGUUCCAAGCCUCUACAACUCCUCAAACAUGUGUCCAUGUUUCUCGUUCAGAACACUGUAGAUGCCACCAAGUAAUUCUCGAAGAGGUGAACAGGCUCUAACAAAUGAGGCUUGGCAGUGAGUUGAGAAGCAUAAAUAGCCUACUGGAAACCAGCAACGACAGAAUCCUUAAUUUCAUUCAGGUACUGGACUCCCUUAAACAUAUCAAGUCCUACCGAGGAUCCAAUGUCUAGGAUUUCUCCCAAAAGUAAGUAGGAGUGCUCUUCCUUUCAAGCCUUUUGUCUGGUGGAUCUACAUACCCUGAGAAUAGAAGCUAGAGAACCCAAGUCUGAACCUAAGGCUGUUUUCUAAGCCUUCUAUAGUUUUAACCCAAAAGGUGAAACAAAAAUGAGGAAUGACUUCUUAUUCAUGUGAAGGGAUCUAUUAACAUAUCUGUGUAUGAUGAUGUCACAAGAUCAUGUACACAAUACAAGUUAGGAUUUUAUAUCAGAUUUCAAUAUUAUUUUCCAUAUGCCUGUCAUCAAUAAAAAAAAAUAUAUGAUAGAAAGAUAACUUAAUGGAAAAGGAAACAAUAAAUCACAUGAUGAACCAAUACAAUCAAAUCUCUCUAUAAUAACGUUAUUUGUGAAGAUUUUUUUUUACUGUUAUAGUGAAAUAUUGUUGUAGAUCUAACAUAUAACGAAUGACGCUCUGACUGAUGUAAGAACUCUUUUUAUCUCAGUAGCUUUUUAUUUUUCGUUACUUCUCUUUGCUUGUUUGUUGAGUAUUUUCCUUUAUUAAAUUGUUGUGUGCAGUGUGUAGCGUCUAUUGCACUGUGAUGCCGAGGAAUCAUCUUCAGAUCAGGAUGAUUUUGAUGUUCGAUGCAAAAAAGAAGGUGAAAGAAUAUUUCUAUUCGGGUGGGAACACUAUAAAUGAAGUCUGGUAUAGGUAGCAAUCGAAAUAACUUGCUCCAUGAAGUUGAUAGCUUAAUGUAAUAAUAAUCAGCUUGUGAUCUUUUACCAUGCACAUAUAUGUUAUCUGGAAGCUAUUUCGUCUUUAGGAAAUUUAUCUCAAUAGUAAUUCAUGUAUUCUUGUUUCAUAUCUCACUCUUUAUUCUUACUUGAAGAUUUUACUUCAUUUAUUGCUUGAACUUCUAUCUUAGUAGCAAUUUCAUGUUCCCAAGCUCUGUAAAUUGUACAGUUCAACCUUGAUUUGCUCACGUAAUUGCUUGCAGUAGAAGGAUUAGCCAGCCUGUAGAUUUGAUGCUACUAGUUUAAUGCUUGGCUGUAUUAACAUUCAAUUGUUCUACCAAAUUCGUCAGCUUAAUAAUUUUCAUUUGAUUGGACUACUUCCAGGUUUUCUUCCAACAUAUGAGAGGGGUAUUGCUUAAAAAUGCUAUUUCCUUUUUUCGAGUGAGUUGUGAAAGAUACUUUCUCUUUUCACUGGAAUUUGACACUAGUACUUUUCUUUUAUCAAACUGAGAAGGAAAUAUUGAGCAAACUUUUGUACAAGGAGUUUCUCCUAUAGCUCGUUAAGAUCGUUUCUAAUUAUUUCUGUUCUGUCAGCAUUUCAACAAAGUACAAGGUUCGAUUGAUCAGUUUCUCUGCUCCAUUUUGAGAUGAUUUGGCAAGAUAUGAUGUCAUUUCCUCAUCGAGAUUCUUUCAGUAAUAGCUGAAGUUUGCCACCAGAACCAGUGGUAGAGUUCCUUCCAUCUCUCGAAAGAAUGGUAGGCAUUUCAUUCUCAGAAAAGGGGAUAUUUUUUGUGUAUAAUACUCUGAUGGUUGUUGUUCACUGCUCCAGCUGCACUUCAAAAUUGUGUAAACAUGUCAACCGCGAGAUUUCCUUCCAGCUGUAUGUUUAAAAUGUGCUCCUCUGGCUCAAAGGAAAACUGCUUAAAACGUUUGGCUUGAAAUGCUGAACCUGCAUUUAGACCAGCAGUGUUACAAGGUCAAGUUGGUAUGUCCAGAUGGUAUCGACCACGAGUUUGGUAAUACUCCCAUCCUCUAUAUUGCUCUGUUGUGCGCGAGUUUGAAGCACCAGAUGGAAGUUUAUUUUGUAUACAUAUAUAAAAAGUGAUAUUAUUUCAAGUUAUGCCUGUGAUCUUAGAUAAGGUGAAGCAGCAAAUAUUGCUAUAUAUGUUGUCCUUAAAAAUUAGUUUAGUGUAAUUACGAAAGACAAAGUUGGACCUCUUUAUAAUGAUGGGCAUUUUUUGGCUGCUAUAAUGAAAUGAUUGUUAUUGUUACGCACCAUAAUAACAUUUAGAUCUUAAUUAACGAUUAUUGAAAAAAGAAAUAUGCAAGAAGUAGUUUUCCUCCAACUUUUUAUGUUAUAGAAGAAAACAAAAUGCUUAAAAGGGCUCAAACUAUUGGGUGCCUUUCUGCUUGGGAUAUCUUUUCAUAGUAUUUGAUUUUGUCAAAUAAAGAGAAAAGUAUAAAAAGAAUACUUUUUUUAAAUCAUUAAUUUCAAGAAGAAAAAAAAACAACCUACGCAAAGAAAACAAUUAGUAGGGAGUUUCUGGUAAUUUUAUAAAGCUAAUGCUACUUGAUUGUAGAGACCAAUUAGUAGGAAAUCAAAUGACAUUUUUAAAAAAUAAAUUAAAAUGUUGAAAACAAGACAAUUGUAGUGGUUAAAUUUCAACUUCAAAGAGGCACCUUCUAUGAAAAAUUAUUUUAAAAACAAUUUGUUAUAACUAUGUUCUUGUCCUGGAGUUCAAAUUUCUAUAAAUAAUUUUUUUUUUUUUAAAUGAAGAAGAUAAUGGUAGAAAACAUUGUAAUUGAAAACUUGUCAUUUUUUCUAAUCCAAGCCAUGCUUCCUUGUAAUAUAAUGCUUAUCAUAGUCAAUCCCUAGUAGUGUUUAUAUAUAUAUAUAUAUAUAUCUAUUAUAAUUUUCCGUCUCAUUCAUCAUCAAUCAAAUAUGUUAUGAUAUAUGUAGUUAAAAAAUGCAUGUUUACUAUGACAGGCGUGUCUACUUUAACUAUAUACAAGUUUAAGUGUAUUCUUGUGCACAUCUAAUGUUGGAGAAAAUAACUAUCAGCUGAAACCAAAUUAAAUGACAUGUUUAUGUAAAUGUCAUUUUAAUAUUAUAAUCUUAGCAAAUUGUGGAGACCAAAAAAGCAAUUAGUACGUAUGAAGGUCAAAGAAUCAGGAUCUAAUUAACUUUCCCCUCCGUAAUACUUCUGAACGGUCAAAAUUCAUGUAAAGUCUAAAAAAAUUUUAAAAAAAAUAGUGUAAUAAUUGAAACACAAUAAACAACAGAUUAAAUAAUUUAACUUUACUAUUUUAAUUACAAAUAGAUAAGUGUGAUAUGCUACCCUAUAUAAGUGUUUCUUUCAUUCUUUGGUUACCUUUAGUGCAGAUAUUCACUGAUUUAUCAUAUCCAUCAAAACUAUUUGUGUACAAUCCCAUAACGAUCUCCCAAAGGAAAGGGAACAAAUAUCAUUUUUAGGAAAACAUUUUGCGUGUGUUUCAAGCGUUCAAUUCUGUGUUCGUUAUUCAUAUUAUAAUAUCUUCAUUCUUCAUAUAAUUUUAUGAUCUUGGUAUAUAUUUUCAACAAUUUUUAGGUUUUGUAGAUGUUGACAUUUAUGUUACUGUAUUAAAGUUUUGUAUGAAAGAGAUAUGGUAUCUCAGAUACCAUAUAUUGCAAGAAAAUAGUUUAAACAGUUUGUUGGAAUGUCUCUGUCAUAUUACCAGCAUUGGUGUUGAGUGUUGGAUUUUAAGCAUUUUAAUAUUACUUUAAAAAUGAGGAGUGACAGAGAGAGUUUAGUUGUACGAUAUUGUUGGGUUAUUGUAUGCUGGAGGGGACAAGUCAAGAGUUAUAUUGUUUGAUUGAUGUAUAGAUUAUGCCACAGUAAACUUGAAUCUCCUUGAAGAGAGCGAGAUAUUUGUGAAAUUUUAGUGCCAAAUUGGAAGUCUCAGUUGCAAAACAGGCAGUCAACAAAACUUACUUGUCUGCAUAUUGCUCUAGGUAAGAGAAAACUCUAAGUCGAGAAAAUCUUAACAUAGAAACAUUAAUCAUCACCAAAUUCAUAAUCAUUUUGUGAUUCUUUGUUUUGCAGGUUUCAGAAAUGGAUAUUGGCUUAGCUGUUGGUGGUGCAUUUCUCUCUUCAGCUUUGAAUGUUCUCUUUGAUAGGCUUGCUCCUAACGGUGAGCUGAUGAAGAUGUUUCAGAGGGACAAGCAUGAUGUUCGGCUUUUAAAGAAGCUGAGGAUGACUUUGCUUGCUCUUCAGGCUGUGCUAAGUGAUGCAGAGAACAAGCAGACAUCAAAUCCAUAUGUGAGUCAGUGGCUUAGUGAGCUUCGAGAUGCUGUGGAUGGUGCUGAAAACAUAAUAGAAGAAGUCAACUAUGAAGCUCUGAGACUUAAGGUGGAAGGUCAGCAUCAAAAUCUCGCAGAAACAAUCAACAAGCAAGUAAUUAGCAUAAAGGAGAAGUUGGAAGACACCAUUGAAACAUUGGAGGAGUUGCAAAAGCAAAUUGGUUUCCUUGAUCUAACAAAGUAUCUUGAUUCAGGUAAACAAGAAAAAAGGACAUUUUCAACUUCUGUGGUUGAUGAAUCUGAUAUCUUUGGUAGGCAGAAUGAAAUAGAGGAAUUGAUUGACCGUUUAUUGUCAGAGGAUGCAAAUGGAAAAAAUCUUACUGUAGUUCCUAUUGUAGGAAUGGGGGGUGUUGGCAAGACAACACUUGCUAAAGCUGUUUAUAAUGAUGAGAAAGUGAAAAACCAUUUUAAUUUGAAAGCUUGGUUUUGUGUAUCUGAACCAUAUGACGCUCUCAGAAUAACAAAAGGAUUACUUCAAGAAAUUGGCUCAUUUGACUCGAAGGCUGAAAGCAAUCUUAAUCAGCUACAGGUCAAAUUGAAGGAAAUCCUAAAGGGAAAAAGGUUUCUUAUUGUCCUAGAUGAUAUGUGGAAUGAUAACUAUAAUGAAUGGGAUGACUUGAGAAAUCUUUUUGUAAAAGGAGAUGUAGGAAGUAAGAUCAUUGUGACAACACGUAAAGAAAGUGUUGCCUUGGUGAUGGGUAAGGAGCAAAUUAGCAUGGGAAUUUUGUCUAGUGAAGUUUCUUGGUCUUUAUUUAAAAGACAUGCAUUUGAAUACAUGGAUCCUGAAGAACAACGAGAACUUAAAAAGGUCGGAAAACAAAUUGUAGCUAGGUGCAAAGGACUGCCUUUAGCUCUGAAGACGAUCGCUGGCAUGUUACGCUCCAAAUCAGAGGUUGAAGGGUGGAAACGUAUUUUGAGAAGUGAAAUGUGGGAGCUGCCAGACAAUGACAUAUUACCAGCGUUGAUGUUGAGCUACAAUAAUCUUCCCGCACAUUUAAAGCAAUGUUUUUCUUAUUGUGCAAUCUUUCCCAAAGAUUAUCCAUUUCGGAAAGAACAAGUCAUUCAACUGUGGAUUGCUAAUGGUCUAUUAAAGGGGUUGCAAAAAGAUGAAACAAUUGAAGACUUAGGCAAACUAUACUUUCUCGAGUUGAGAUCAAGAUCACUUUUUGAAAGGGUCCAGGAGUCUUCUAAAAGGAAUGAAGAGGAAUUCUUAAUGCAUGACCUUAUCAAUGAUCUGGCCCAAGUUGCAUCUUCAAAACUUUGUAUCAGGUUGGAAGAUAACGAAGAAUCUCAUAUGUUGGAAAAAUGUCGACACCUGUCCUAUUCAUUGGGAGAUGGUGUCUUUGAGAAGUUGAAACCACUCUACAAAUCAAAGCAGCUGAGGACAUUGCUUCCAAUCAAUAUCCAGCGUGGGUACUCAUUUCCUUUAAGCAAGAGGGUGUUGUAUAACAUAUUGCCAAGACUAACAUCCUUAAGGGCUUUAUCAUUGUCUCAUUAUCGGAUUAAGGAGUUGCCGAAUGACUUGUUUAUCACAUUAAAACUCCUAAGAAUUUUGGACCUUUCUCAAACGGCGAUAAGAAAGUUACCAGAUUCCAUAUGUGCAUUGUAUAACUUGGAGAUACUUCUCUUGUCUUCUUGUAUAUAUCUUGAGGAAUUACCGCCGCAUAUGGAAAAGUUGAUCAGCUUGCGUCACCUUGACACUACUGGCACUUCUCUCUUGAAGAUGCCACUACAUCCAAGCAAGUUGAAAAACCUCCAUGUGCUAGUAGGAUUUAAGUUUAUUCUAGGUGGCUGCAAUGAUUUGAGAAUGGUAGAUUUAGGUGAACUACGCAAUUUGCAUGGAUCUAUAUCAGUUCUAGAGUUGCAAAAUGUGGUUGAUAGAAGGGAAGCUCUGAACGCAAACAUGAUGAAAAAGGAACAUGUUGAGAUGUUGUCGUUGGAGUGGAGUGAGAGUAUUGCUGACAGUUCACAAACUGAAGGAGACGUACUCAAUAAACUACAACCAAAUACAAACAUAAAGGAACUGGAAAUCGCUGGAUAUAGAGGGACAAAAUUUCCGAAUUGGAUGGCUGAUCAUUCAUUUCUUAAGCUGGUGGGAGUGUCUCUUAGCAAUUGCAACAACUGUGCUUCCUUGCCAGCACUAGGACAACUUCCUUCUUUGAAAUUCCUUACCGUUAGAGGGAUGCAUCGAAUAACAGAAGUGAGUGAAGAGUUCUACGGUACGUUGUCCUCCAAAAAGCCAUUUAACUCUCUUGAGAAGCUUGAGUUUGCAGAGAUGCCGGAGUGGAAGCAGUGGCAUGUACUGGGGAAGGGAGAGUUCCCUGCACUUCAUAACUUUUUAAUUGAAGAUUGCCCCAAGCUGAUUGGGAAGUUGCCUGAAAAACUUUGCUCUCUGAGAGGAUUGAGAAUUUCAAAAUGUCCUGAACUCAGUCCGGAGACACCUAUCCAACUUUCAAAUUUGAAAGAGUUUAAAGUUGUUGCUUCUCCUAAAGUUGGAGUUCUUUUUGAUGAUGCUCAACUGUUUACAUCUCAACUUCAGGGAAUGAAACAGAUUGUUGAAUUAUGUAUUCAUGAUUGUCACUCUCUUACCUUCUUACCGAUUAGCAUUCUUCCGAGUACCUUGAAGAAAAUAGAGAUAUAUCAUUGCAGGAAACUGAAAUUGGAGGCGUCAAUGAUUUCUAGAGGAGAUUGUAACAUGUUUCUGGAGAAUUUGGUAAUAUAUGGAUGUGAUUCUAUAGAUGAUAUAUCACCAGAGUUGGUCCCAAGAUCACACUAUUUGAGUGUAAACAGUUGCCCCAACCUUACUAGGCUUUUGAUUCCUACUGAGACUGAAAAACUCUAUAUUUGGCAUUGUAAGAAUCUUGAAAUACUUUCAGUGGCAUCUGGAACUCAGACGAUGUUGCGUAAUUUGAGUAUUCGUGACUGUGAGAAGCUGAAGUGGCUGCCAGAAUGUAUGCAGGAACUCAUUCCAUCUCUUAAGGAACUAGAACUAUGGUUUUGUACAGAAAUAGUGUCCUUUCCUGAAGGAGGAUUGCCCUUCAAUUUACAAGUCCUUCGGAUCCACUAUUGUAAGAAACUGGUGAAUGCGCGAAAGGAGUGGCAUUUACAGAGACUCCCCUGUCUCAGAGAGUUAACCAUCUUACAUGAUGGCAGUGACCUUAACCAUCUUACAUGAUGGCAGUGACCUUGCUGGUGAAAACUGGGAGUUGCCUUGCUCUAUUCGAAGGCUUACCAUAUCCAAUCUGAAAACAUUAAGCAGCCAACUUUUCAAAAGUCUUACCUCCCUUGAAUAUUUAUCUACUGGUAACUCACUUCAAAUUCAGUCACUGCUGGAAGAAGGGCUUCCCACCUCUCUUUCUCAUCUAACUUUAUUUGGCAAUCAUGAGCUCCAUUCCCUACCGAUUGAAGGUCUACGACAACUCACUUCACUUCGGGAUCUAUUCAUUUCUUCAUGUGAUCAACUCCAAUCUAUUCCAGAAUCAGCACUGCCCUCCUCCCUCUCUGAGCUGACCAUCCAGAAUUGCCAUAAACUCCAAUACCUUCCGGUAAAAGGGAUGCCCACUUCAAUCUCUACACUAUCUAUUUACGACUGUCCAUUGCUCAAACCACUCCUUGAAUUUGACAAAGGAGAAUACUGGCCAAAAAUUGCUCAUAUUUCCACCAUAAAUAUUGAUGGGGAAUACCAAUAAUGGUGUGAAGUGGUGUCCACCUCUGUACCAUCAUCUGCCUUGGGACAACAAACUUUGCUAACUGAGAGUAGCGCAAAGGCGAGACUGACUCAGGAUUGCUUUAAGCCUCACCCUUUGGAUUGAUGAUUACUUAAUCUGGUAUGCACAAUUACUUAAAUGGUUACUUAUUUAAGGCAUGUUAUAUAUAUAUCGCGUUGAUUUCAAGUUUAAUGUGACUACAUUAGAUAGCAAAUACUGAACUUCUGUCAGUAUUUGGAUCUUUAGCACAAUAGCUUUUGUGGUUGUGUGUAUAAAAACCGAAAAACUGAAACUAAAAACCUGACUAACCUAUACUUGUUUGUAAUUGAUGUAGUCUAUGCAUACUUGGUGAAUUGACCAGAUUUGGUGCUUAUCUCUCACCCACACUCAGACCCUCAGCUUUUGGAUUGAUGAUCACUUCAUCUGGUAUGCCCAUGAUAUCCUUUGAAUUGACCAAGUUUGAUUCAUAAUCCCAGUCUUGAGUUUUCAUCUGUCUAUUGAAGGACAUGCUUUAUUCAUCUUGAAAUGUUCAAUCAAUUGUGAAAUCACUAGGAAGAACACGAAUGUUCACAAAAAUGAUAUCUCUAUGAGGUAGCUUUUGUUCUUCUGUGUGCAUCUAUUGGCAUUUUUGAAAAGUCCGAGCAAGAUUGGUUAUACAUAAGUACAGUCUAGUGAAGUGCAGAUGGCUCUGUCCAACAUCAAGAGGAAGCACCAGCCUCAAUGCACAUAAUUAUAAUACACUCUAUCUACCAAACGACCUUUUUAUGUCUCGCUACAUUCAAGUGAUAUUUUCGGUCACUCAAUUGACACGACAAUAUUUUAUCAUUGAAAAUAAUCUCUCUACGUUCAUAAGGUCAUAAGGUAGGAGUAAGGUCAUAAGGUAGGAGUAAGAUUUGAGUACACAUCACCCUCUUCAUUCGUCUCGCUUUAAUCAUUUACCAAGGCUCGAACUCGAGAUUUUUAAUCAGAAAUCAACAAAUGUUUUCCAUAGAACAUCUUCUUGCAAUCUAGGGUACUCAUGAUUCACUAUAGCAAGUAUGAUGUUGUGUAGCGUUGAUUGAUUUCAAGUUUGAUAGCAAUUACGGAGGUUUUUUCAGUUUUUGGAUCUUUAACACAACAGUCAAAAACAACAAUUCUUUAAUGCUUGAUGUAAAUAUUGAUUUAUUGAUUGUUAAUUAUAUUAUUGAUUCAAUUAUCAAGUUAAUCAUUAAGAUUUCACAAAAAGAAAAUCAAUAACCGAAAAAUAAAAUCUACCAUACACAUGAAUUGACAACUUACCGAUAACCUAAUAACAUUUUCUCGAUUCAAUUUUAAACAACCCUACUUAAAAUAUUGUGAUAUUUCCAUCUUAUAAACAAAUUAAUAUCAUCUUAUAAACAAAAUUAAUUUAUGACCCACUUAUACUAGGUGGCAAAAACAUUGCCCAGCAAGCUCUUCGGAAUGAAGCUAUUUUUUUUAAAAAAAAAUAAAAAUACUUUAGCCAUAAUAAUAAAAAUUAUUAGGUACUUCAAAAUUCAUAAAUAGAAAUUAUCAAGAGGACAAAUAAACAGAGACAAAAGGAGAAAAACUAAUUUGUUCUUAUUCACAAAAAGACAGCAAGGAAGCAGUAACUCAUACAAAAUGAACAAAAAGCUUCAAAAUAAAUCUAAGCAAAUCCCAUCAUCAUGUCAUUGCCUAAGCUCUUAAUCACUUCUGGUAUCUUCAUCACAUCCUUCAUCUUCUUCUUCUCUUUUCCCUUCUCUCCUCUUUCUCCCUCUUCCUCCUCCCCCUUCGGAUCCAUAGGCUCCGAGGGAGCAACCGACGCCGACGGAAAAAUUACCGCCUCACGCUGAGCAUCCAAAAUCUUCCUUAACCUCUCUUCACUAACACCAAAUGCAGCUGCAAAUUCAGGUCCUCUCAUGCUCUGAAGUAUCGAAUUCUGACCCACCAAGAACUGUGGCAUGUUCUUCCUUGCUGUGGUCGUGAAUCCAAAGAACUCGAACGGUCCUGUUCUUGAUGCAAUUUGACAGAAGGGGAAGUACCUUGGCACCCAGAAUACAUCUCCUUCGUUUACUACAGCAUUCAUUGCUAUUGUCCCGUUUGGAUACACGAUUUGGAUGCUGCCACUUCCUCUCAACACUAUCCCAUACUCUGUUGCUGUUGGAUUAAUGUGUGGUGCCAUCAUAGCUCCCUACAUGUAAAAACAUAGUAGGACUAUGUAAAGACAUAUGGCUUAGUUCAGGAAUCCUAACAAAAAAAUCAAAAUCCAUAAAUAUUGGACCUAGGAUAUGAAGAAACUCAACAACGUGGCAUCUACGAUUCAAACUCGUGACCUAAAACAAAGUUUUGAACCCUUAACACUACAUUUACCAUCCCACUAAACAUAAAGCUCCCUUAUCUGAGGGGGAUUCAAAAUAGUUUACUUGUAUACAAAAAUAAAUGUUUUUGUUUGUCCGUCGCACCAUAUAGGUGUGACAAUUUUCGCAAGGAAAGAAUUCAGUUGCAUUCCCUUCAUGCAACUUAGCCUCCACCACAGGUUAUAGUGGAUCGAGUUCAGUUUAGUGAUCACAAACUGUGGUGGAUGCUUAGUACGGACGCUGUGGUGGAUAAAGUUCAGUGAUCACAGGCGCUAUAGUGGAUAAAGUUUAGUAAUCACAGGCGCUAUAAUGGAUAAAGUUUAGGGAUCACACGUGGAACCAACAAUAUUAACCCUAUGAGAACAAUAAACAUGGAUCGAACAUCAUAUUUUAUAAGAAUGGUGUAUGGUGUAGGUGAGUUACCGCUGAAAGAUUGACGAGGUAGACGCCGAUGUCAGAGUGUUUCAAUGGAGAAUACUCAGAUUGAUCCAAGGCCAAGCUCCAUCCAUAAUCAUUCUUGUAAUCUGGCUUCCUAUCAAACAGGUUGUAGGAAUCUGGACCUUUCCCACUGCCUCUACGUCCUUCAUCGCCUUUCUUUCUUUUAUUUCCUUCAUGACCAAAAAGAUUAUUCAUAAACUUCCUCAAAGACCAUGUUGGCUGUUGCUCCCUUUCCUCAUCUUCUUCUUCAAAACUGGCUUCUUCCUCCAAAUGCACUACUCUCUUUAGGUGAUCAUGUCUCUGGUGCUGCUCAAGAUUCAAGAAAUUGGCCCAUAUGCUUGGUGUAGGAGACUGAGUAGUGUUCAGAGGUACAAUUGCACCAGAAAGUUGUCUUGUCAAGAUCUCACUCACUUCUUCAGAUGAUACCUGUCAUGUGUAACACAUCUUGAAAUUAACUACUUCUAUCCCUUUGAUAAAUAUACUUUGAAUCAUCUACUUAAGGUUCUCAAAAUUGAACCCACCGGAUUUUAAAGUUGCCGAGUUCAUAUCUAUCAUUCUUUGUAUUACAGUCCUUACCCUUACCUCUUUUUCUUUUUUUAAAAACUCAAAAGAGGGAUGCAACACGAGGACUUCUUACGAGAGAUUGUUUCCUAGAGAAACCGUCACAGAAAUUCGUUGCAUUUUUAGUGAAUUUUUACAAUGUUCCUAGAACAUUGGUACUAAGUUCAGAUAAACACGAUAACAGAUUAACAGUAAACUCUACCUAUAAGUUAUCAUCACUUACAUUGAAUGCUGUUGAUAAUGUAAGAGUGUCAAAUCCACUAAGAAUAGAUGUUGGAUAGAUUCCACCACCAAUGAAGAAAGACUGCAAGGAAAUUUGUUAAUUGUUACUCACAACAUUCGAUAGUCAAAGAUCCAGUUUUUUUAACAAGAAAUUGCAAAAAGGUACCUGAAAACCAUACAAUCCUAAGGUGUUGGAGUUGCUAAUGCUGCAAAUGAUAUGAAGUCUUUGCCCUUCAGCUGGAUUAACCAGAUAAAAAGCAGAUCCUGCACGAAUGCUGUAUACAUCUCCUUCCUUCAAUCGCCUUUCAGUAAAGUCAUCCUUGUAGAUAUGCCCAAUUCUUGUUUCCCCUGCAGUCUCAACACACUUAAUUCAUUUCUCCAACUAUUUUUCUUACUAAAAAAGAAAUAAUCUUACAAGAACCAUGAAAAAUCCUCUAUUUAAUGUGUAAAUAUUCCUUUCAGAAUUGUGAUCUAGAACUCAUAAACUAUAUGUCGUAGCUCCGCCCCUAAGGAAGGGUCUUUGGAGCAAGAAUAAGAGUUGUCAUUGUCAUGUUACAAGCCCAUCACGAGUUCAAACAGUGAAAACAACCUAUUACUUCUCAUACAUAGAAGGAUAUGUUUUAAGGGAUAGGUUCAAUUAAACCAUUAAUUUUUUAUUUAGAUCAUACAUAUAUGUGAGAAUCAUGAACAUUGGUGAAAAUUCAAUCAAAACUUUGAUCUCAUGUUUUCCAAGAACCUUUUAUAACUACACACCAGGGAUGGGGAAGUGAAACACAAGGGGCUCGGGGUGAACCUCGGGGUAAUUCAGAUAGUCAACUAACUAGAUUCCUACAAUGUCCCAAGAAAAUUGAAAACCAACACUAAAUCUUGAAUUUGCCAGCUCAUGAGUCAUGAUGAGUACACAAAUUGCUUCUUUUUGUAUUAUAGGAGAACCACAAGAACAAAACCAAGAAAAAGCUGAAACUUCACCUCAUUUUUUCAAAGAAUUCAAACCUCUAAAAAAUCAGAAAGGCAACUAACUCGACUCAUAUAAUUUCCCAAGAAUAUUGAAAAACCAACACUAAAUCUUAAAUUUCCCAGCUAAUGAGUACAUAAAAAUUACUCCUUUUUUUAUUAUACACGAACCAUAUGAACAAAACCAAGAAAAAGCUGAAAACUUCACUCCAUGUUUUCAUGAGAAUUCGAACCUGUGAAAAUUCAGAUAGCCAACUAACUCUGACUCCUAUAAUUUCCCAAGAAAAAUGACAACCAACACUAAAUCAUGAAUUUACCAGCUCAUGAAUAGACAAGAUUGCUCCUUUUUAUCAUACAAGAACCAUGAGAACAAAACCAAGAAAAAGUUGAAAACUUUACCUCUACGAACAAAGAGUGUAAGAUGAGCAUUCAGAUACUGAGGGAUGAAAAGAGUAUUAGGUUCCAUGGUGAUAAAACCAAUAUGCAUUAGACUCUGAAAUAUAGAAACCUCACCACCACUAAAUCCACCCUUACUCACAACUCUCAUUACUCCAGCAUCAGUCCUCACUAUCUCCUUUGAAUCAUGCAACAAAAACAACCCUUCUCCCCAUUUUUCCUCUUCUCCCACUUCAUAAGAAGUACCAACAGAAACCACUACUAGUAGCAAUAAGAUCAAAAGAAACUUUCUGUAACUUUCCAUGAUUAUCACUUAACAAAAAAAAAAUUGUUUUUUUUUUCUCUGCUUCUCAAAUGGUGUUGGAAAAUUGCAGGGGAUUUGAAAGAGUUUAUGUAGAGGACAGAGAAGGACUUUAGUCGAACAGAUGGCGUGCAUGCAAGAUUUGAAGAAUUUGCUGGCAUAGCUUUGUUUCUUCUUCAACAUUUUUGUAAGCAAAAAAUUGGAAAUGUUGCCACGAGUUUUCUAAGAUAUUGUACCGAUUGAACUUUUGUCCAUUUACCACUAGAAAUUUAUAUAUUUAAUAAAAAAUGGAGAUUUAAAAAAAAAACUUUUAUCUUUAUUUUUUUUAAUUUUUCAUUCGGUAUUCGUUAUCAAGCUACUAAGUCAUACUAUAAAAAUGUGAGCAAGGAUGCGACGGGGUGUGCAUUGUCAGAACUAAUUUUAUUUUAUGAACAAGGCAUAAGUACUACUCGGUUAUGACCGAAACCGAGAAGGUCUAUUAAAAGGGACAAACUAGUUAGUUAAUUAGGUAGGAGUCCUUCAAGUCUUAAAAAUUGGGUAGAAGUGACAAACAGUAUUGAUUAGGUUAAAAGAUAUUUUCUCAAUAUCCCAAACUUUUAACUUUUACACUUUAGUCCAACAACUGUCGUAGUUGUGGGGACAACUUCUUUAGUCGUCCGACAACUUCAAUAGUUGUCCAGACAACUACGAAAGAUGUUAUUAGUUUAAUCCUUUUAUUAAUAUUAAAAAUAAAAAAGUAGAGAAAAAGUAAAGAGGGCCCACUUGUCCCGAAAAAAUUACUUGGAUGGUUAUCUUUUAAUAAAUAAUUACUGAUUUUAGCGAUAUUUUUUAUUUAUUAUCAUUUAUUAGCAAUACAUAGCAAUACUAUGUUAAAUCUGCAAUUAUGUAUUAAAAGUGAAUUAUAUAUGCAAUAUAUAUGUAUUAUAACUGUUUUUUUUAAAAAUAUAUUAUGCUUGUUUGGUAAGAAAUUGACAAUUUGUAUUAUAAGUGUAUUAAAAUGUGUGAUAAAUGUAUUAUCCAUCAAUAAAACUUGUAUUAUAUGUGAAUAAUAAAUUCUUCCUUUGUAAUGUAUUGAAAUUGUAUUAUAAAUGUAUUAAAAGUGAUCAAGUGAAAAGAAAAUGUUAUUGCUAUAAAUGGUAAAAAAACAAUUUAAUAUAGUAUAUUUAUGUAAGUUUCCCUUUUUUUAAUUGAAACUUAUAAGGCACUUUUAGCUCAUUUUUCCACCGAAACCUCAAAGACAUAUUUAACUAAACUAAAAUCUUAUUACCUCGAAUUCAUUUUUUUAAAAAAUUUUAUACACCUUUUGGCUCACGUGCCAUAAUCCGUGACUUCACGUAGUUGAGACGCGUGAGAGAUUUUUGGAUGUCACGUAAGCCAAAAAUGUAUACAAAGUUACAAAAAGAUAGGUUUGGAUGUAAUAGGACAUUAGGUUAGUUAAGGUGUGUUUCUGAGAUUUCGAUCAUAGUUUAGAGGGUACUUGUGCAUUAUCUCUUAAUUUAUGCUAGGCUGUUCAACUAAUACACAAUUCAUUUUGUAAGGAGAUUGAUAGAGUAGUAUAGAGAGAGGAAGACUUACUUAUUUAUAUAUGGUGUUCAUCGACUAAAUUCACACUCUUAAAUAUGACAUGUCUAUACAUAUUUUCUUUUCACAAAUGAUUAAUUAGUAUUUUUUAUAUAUUGUUAAAUUAUAUAUAAUCAUAAAAAAAUGAUAUUUUAUUUGUCAUAAACGCAAAGCAAUGAAAAGCUUUGAGGAGAAAAAAGAAAACAAAAUAAAAAGGGAGAAAAAAAAAACUAUAAAAACAUUUCCACAAAACAAAAAUAUAAAAAAAGAAAAAGAAACAAAAAAAUAAUUACUAACCAUAUGCACUUUGUGGAUUAAUAUAUUAAUUAUUUAUUAACCAUAAUAAAUUGAGAAUUAUUAUAAAAAAGACAUAUCAAUUCAGUAAUUAUUUUUAAGUAGUUAAUCCUAUGUGUGAAUAAAUAUUUUCCAUCACUUCUAUUAUUCUGGUUUGAGAGUAUUUUUUAAUUUAUUAAAAAAAAAAAGUUCUCAGUGCGUUGCCGCCGCAACUCUUCACUUUCCUUGAGGCCAUUGAAACUCUUCUGUGUUUGUUCAAGAAAACAGUCUCUCUUGAUAAAGAUUUAACCUUUUUGGGGUUUUAGCUUAAACCCUUUGCUUCAAUUUCUCGAAUAUACAGAAUGGGAAAGAAAUCAGGGAAGUUCAAGAAGAAGGAAAACAACUCUUCAAUGAAAUCAAAAAGUGAUUUUUACAAUGAAGAUGAUGAUAUGAUGAAUGAUGCUAUUGAUGCCUGUAAGUUUUUCCCUUUUAUAAACUCUAUUUACUUAUCUUUUUAGCAAAGUUAGCAUAAGAUACAAACAUUUCAGACCCCAUUUGUGGGAUUAUACUUAGUAUGUUGUUGUUGUAGCAUUAGAUACAAAGAUAUAUGCAAAAAAUGGUUCUUUCUGGCGAGAAAUUUACUUUUUUGAGUUCAUUGAUGGAGGGAGAGCAUUAGAGCAAAGAUUGAGCUAGUAGUUUGAGUUUAUGGAUUCUAAAUUUUUUAAAAAUGCAGCUUUACACGGUUUGAGCCAAACCUAUUGGGUUCUGCUGAACCCGUAGGCAAGCUAUAGCUCGGUGAGGGGCGAGGGGCGAGGGUGUGUUAUAAAAAAAUGCUCUUUAUGUUAAAUAAUUUGUCUGUUACUGAUCUUUUUGGUUGAUUGUAGUUCAUGAAAAGAGAGAUAUCAUUCCACUGAAUGUUAAUGAAGAUUCUGCAGAGUCGGAUGAGGAUAAUGAGCAUCCCGUGUAUGAUCUUAAGGUGAUAUUGGUUUUUCUUUUGCAACUUUUAUCUUCAUACUGAAUGCUUAUAAAAUGUAUUAAGAGAUUAGAGAACUAAUUUGAUGUAAAGCAAGUCAACUAAUUACUCAAGGUUGGGGAACUGUUUCAAUUGUAUAGGAGGAUGAAGAUGAGGAGGAUGAAGAUGAUGACUUUGAUGAUGCUGAACUUACCGGCCUUGGUGCUAAAAGUAUGCAAUUAAAUUCAAACUUGUGACUGCCUUUUGUCAUUGAAAUGAAAUACUUUAGCUGAAUUGCCUAUCCUGUUUGUUUUUAUGAAAUUCUUCUCCGAUAUUCCCUUUUAGUGCUUCUUAAGGCAACAUAGAGCAUAAGAUUGGUUUAUAUUUAUUUAAGGAGUUUCCUCUCUCAAAAAAAGGAAAAGAAAAAGCAGAAAAAGCAGAAGAGAAAUAUAGCAGCUUUUACUAUUUUAACUUCUCAUUAAGAUUUUGCAAAUGCAUGUGGGGUGGUGGUGAGAAGAAUUCCUAGUGUUUGAUUAUUGAUUGAGGCUAAUUAGGCCGGAGACUAAAUAUUAAUGGUGUGUUCGAACUGUGUAAUAUUGCACGAAGCUCAGUAGGUCUAACCACUAAGUUACUAUUUCUACUGUGGCUCCUAGUUUUUAAGUUUCUCUGAAUUGAGCUUCUACACAUAGAUGGCAGAAGGAAGACCCCUUUCAUACUCGUAUAUUUGUUGAAUUAAUAAGCUAAUUUGUUUCCUUCCAAUUCUGGCUUUUACAUUUCUUUUGGUUCUUGAUCUCUUAAUAUAUGCCUCUUUUUUGCCAUAUUUCCUUGGAUCUUCUGCUUGGGGCAGUCUUUUAAUGUAUAAUUUUUGAGUACCUAUUUUUGCUUUAGUUGCAAGGACACAGAAAUAUUUACAAGCUACUAUGGGUGGGGUUGAGGAUGAAAUGCAUGAUGAGGCUGAACAGGAGAAAGAAGAAAUGUGGGGAAGAGGAAAGAACAUUUAUUAUCAAAAUAAAGAGGUAGAGUUUCACCUAAUUAUUUGCUUCACUUUUAUUCUUUUAUGACAUAAUUAUAUACGGUACGCUUGGAGAAACCAAUACUUUACUGGCUUUAAAAAUAACAAUGUGAUGUCAGAGGAUUAUCCUGUCCUUACUGUUUCAACAGUACCUGUAGGCUGUAACAUAGUUCUUCGAUCAUGUCGUCAUUUGCAUGCAAUACUUGAUCUCGCUUGAACAUUUUUGUUUGUUAGAAUGUUGAAGAGUCAAGUGAUGAGGACCUUAUCGCCGAGGAGGAGGCAGAGGUAUUGAGAAUGCAGCAGAAAAAAGCUAAAUCCUUAUCUGCAGCGGAUUUUGGUAUUGAAGAUGAUGAACUCACAUUUGAGGUGAGAAAUUCAAUUUAUAUACAGUCUUUAUUAGAAGGUUUUUUCUUAUAUUUUGAGGUUGGAAGUGGAAUCUUAUGGGUAACAUUGCAGGAAAUUUUGGUCCAUGGAAAACCUGGAUCAGCAGUUUCUGCAGAUGAAGAAGCUAAAAAUGAAACUGGUACUGCUUAUGAGGAAGUGCAGAAGGAUUUGAAUGCUUUGACAAAAGAAGAGCAAAUGGAUGUUGUCUAUAGGUGAGCUUCUCUGUCCUGCAUAUACUAGUUUCAGGGUAAAAUGUUACUUCUUUUAAGUCCAUUGCCUGUCAUGGUCAACAAUGUUAUGUAAUUUCACCUAGCAUCGUGAUAAUAUCAGUAUAGGAAAAGGGAGGCACAUAACUUACAAUUAAAUAGAUAUCAGUACAUUCUCAAUAAUCGGGAAAAAAAAUAGAAGAGAAAAAGGCAGGUGGUGAACUAAGUUUUCCUACAGAAUAGUAUAUGCUUAAUUUAUGGCUAAAGGUUGUGGAAGUUGACAACAACAACAAUAACAACAUACCUAGUGUAGUCCCACAAGUGGGGUCUGGGGAGGGUAGGAUGUAUGCAGACCUUACCCCUACCUUUGUUGUAGAAGUUGACAAUAAAACAAAACUCUAUGUGUUGCUCAGUUCAGACUCCAAUAUGACAAAGAUAUUUGAGGACCCAUUCCUGCAAUAUCCUCAAUUUGACCAUUUAAAAAUGGAUCAUGGUAUGUCUAGUGUCAGAGGUUUCAGUAGAAAGUUCCGAUAGUUAGCAGCUGUCCCUGUUAGAUGUCUGAUCUGCAUGGAGAUGGCAGACUUCAGGAUAUUGAAUACCAUGCUAAGCAGAGAAGCUUUAUGAUGUAGAUAAGGAAAUUGGAUCUCAGUGACACAUUUUUGAUAAUGCAUUGUGGGGGACUCAUGAUCGCGCAAUAGAAGAAAUCCAGAAGGUGCAUGCCUUGUAUCACAUUGUUAUCAAUGGCUUCACAUUGUUUAUGUGGAAGUUGAUUCUAUGUCUAGGAAGUACAAUUUAUUAUUGCGGCAAAGUGGCAGGUCAAGAGUGCAAAGCCAGAAGAUCUUGAGAAGUGGGCCACUGGAUGUUAGUAACCACUGCAUCUAUUUUCUUAAAUGUGCCUCAUUAGUUUUUUUUUGUAUUUAGAUCAUGUAGAAAAAGGAGAAAAGUGGCUUGUGGGUCGCAAUUGAGUCACAAGAUCAAGAUGUUGUUAGAGUAUUCUUGGGUAGUUGGCUUAGGUUCAAACCCCAACAAAGGCAAAAACACUAGGUAAUUUGAUUUCUUCCCAUCUGUCUUGGUGGACAGGAUUACCUAAUACCUAUGUUGGCAGGAGAUAGUAUGUACCCUGUGAAAUUUCCUGGACACCAUGGUUAUUAAAAGAAGUAGUCAAAGGUAGCUAGCUAUACGGAGGCAUGGGAGUCAGGGAGCUACUUCAGAGGUGUCGAUGUGUUCACUUCAACCAGGGAGAACGAAAUGGAGCUUUCACAAGAUCUGACGAUUCACUUUGGAGUUCAGUCCAUGAUAUAUAGAUGAGAUUACCAAAUAUCUAGUUAUCCCCUGGACGAGAUCACUAAAUAUCUAUGUUGCUCGGACUCUUCAAAAUGCCAACGGGUGCGUGUCGGAUUCGCCAAAAGUAGUGUUUUUUUGAAGAAUUCGAGACGGGUGUGGCAUCAAAAGUGAAGAGUCCACACAACUAAGCUAAAUAUCUAGUUAACGCCCUGUCCGAAUUGAUUGUACAGGAUCAGAAAUGUUCAGUUGAAAUGUCCGUCCGUCACGGCGCAGUGACCUUCUUUUAUGGAAUUCUACAUUGCAUGCUUGUGAUUAAUUCAAAUCAAAAGUAAGAAUCUUCGAUGUGUGUGUGUGCUUCUACUGUCAUUGGCUAGAUAUUAUCUGGUAGGUUGCGGACAUUUACUUUUGCAGGUUAUAUGAUUCUUCUAACUCGUUUUUCAAUAAAUUAAAAAAGUUAUACUUCUGAUCUAUGAUCUUCUUGUGAUUACAGUUCUGCACCUGAAUUGGUUGGCUUGCUGUCUGAGCUUGGUGAAUCGCUUGAGCACCUCGAUAACAAAGUUAAUCCCCUAUUCAACAAGGUAUGUGCAUUGGAAAUUCCACUAACUACAGGCAGUCACUAUUAUGCUAUUCAAACCUGAGGGUGCUGUGGAAGAUACUUGUCUAACUGCUUCACGGCGUUAUCGCCAGAUGCCUAAUUUUAUUUACAUUGUGAAAUUCACACGUACAUUUUAGAACUGCUUGGUUGUGGUUCCCUUUAAACAGUUUUGGGGUUCUUUGGUGACAAAAUCUUUGUAGUUACUCAGGCUCUGUUACUGAUAUAAAGAUGCUCAGCUGAAAGGAUGAAAUAAUGAAGGUUUAGAAAUGAUUGGUUGGGGUAGUGUAACUGACAAGUAUAGGUAAAACAGUGAGAGUUGACUCAUAUAACAAUGGAAUUAGUCAUUCUCCUAGUUAGAAACUGAAUGCAGUUUUUGGUAAUAUUACACCUGUCAGCAAUUAACUUCCAUUUUUCUCUAUUAAGAUUAAUGGAAAGAAUAUGAUAAAAGGCGGGAUGCACUACAUUGAGGUGAAGAGGCUGCUGCUGCUGUCAUAUUGCCAAGCUAUAACUUUCUACCUUCUUCUCAAAUCUGAGGGACAGCCAGUGCGUGAUCAUCCAGUCAUUUCACGCCUUGUGGAGAUCAAGAAUCUGUUGAAUAAGGUUACAACUCAUAUCAUAGGAUUCAAACAACGAAACAUGGCCAAAUUACUGCUUGCCAAUUUUUGUUAAUUCUGUUAAUGAAGACAUUAUUUGCUGGAAAAUCAGUCACUUGAUUAUAUGGUAUAUGCAUAAUUGAUGAGAUAAGACUGCUUUAUCUAAUCUUUGAGAUAUAUGCUAAGCAAAUUGUGUUUACAUACACAUGUUGAAAACAUUUACUUGCCGACCACCUCAUAUGGUAAUAUCAGCAGACUUUCAUUAUAAAGUUACUACCACUAGCUUGUAAAAAUGGAAAAGGUUAACACAAACUAUAAUUAGUGUAGUUAUUUAGCUCAUGGAAAUAGCUAGAGGACACUUUAUUAUCUAGUUGAUACUUAUGAAAUAUAUCUAUAUGUUUGACAAAGGUUUCAAUUCUUUAACUCACCCUCCUUGUAAAAGUCUAUGUUAUUCUGUCUGCAUCUGGGCGGUUUCUUCUUUAGUUUAGUGUAAAAAGUAUCUUAGUGCUAAUCUGAACUUGUUUAUUCAUCCAUCGGCAGCUUCUUCCUCCCUUGCCCUUUUCUAUAUGAAGCUUGAUGAAAUCGACUCCAACAUCAAAGUGCUUUUUCAUUACUGUAUUUAGCAGUGUGAAAUCUUUAGGUGUAAAUUGCAUCACCCAGAUAAGGUUUAUUUUGAUUUUUCAUGAUAUGGUUUUAAAUUCAAUAUAUGUUUAUGUGUUAAUAAGUGAACAACUUUUUUGAUGGAGUUUGGGAAAUACCUACAAGGACUAUACACCAAGCCUUCUAGACAGAAAUUGAUUAAUCAUCUAUACACCCAAGAUAUUAUGUAUGUACCAAAUAUCUACCGAUCAUCAUCUAGUUGAGGGCUUAAGGUCUAGUUAUGAAUUCUCUGUAUUGAUGCUGCUCUAUUGGGUCCCCUUCAUUCCCAAACAUACAAAAAAUAGAACCUCGAUCUGCAGUUCAAACAACUCUUUUCCACUACAUUAGAAGCUCUAUGAUGUCUUUCUCAGUUCUCACCUUGUGUUCCACAUGACCUCAUCUGGAUAGCUUCCUUUCCUGCCCCUCUAUUAUCCUUUCUCCCAAAAAACAUUCAGCACUGAAUUCCACACUGCUGUCACAGAUAUUCAGCUCUAACAAUGGAUUAAAUUUCUUUGGUGUUCUGCUGUUCCACAGAAUAUGGAUAGGACAACCCCUUUUUUCCUCUUCUGCAGUUAUCUGUAAAUAGACAUGAAGGUCACUUAUUCCUACCACCCUUAACUGAAUCGUCAUUUCCGUACCCAAGUAUCCUUCCUUUAUCUUUCAUGUUAUUUUGCAAAACAGUUAAAACCCUUAGUAUCCGACUCUUGCCUUUUUUUUUUUCUUAUCUUGUAACCAUGACAUUUGGGUCAGCUUGUGCACACCUGGACUAACUCCACGGAUGCCUGCUACCUCCCACCAAUACAAGUACCAGGUAACACUGUUCAUCAAGGCUUAGACAGAGAGGAAGAUAUCAGUCAAUCACCUAGUUUUUUGCCUCACUGUAGUUGAACUCGAGACCUCAAGUUCUCAUGGUUCUCAAUCCACUUCAUUAACCACUAGGCCAAACCCCUGGGUGCCUCUUGCAUAAUUAUUCUAAGUGAAUACCCCAUAAAAAUAUUCUCCAGCCUUCUUCUUAAUUUGUGUGAUAAAUAUAUCUCUGUCCAUAGCUAGCUAAACUCAUUUGUCAAAUAAGUUAAAUACGUGGAUUUCCGUGGAAGGAUUCUGUAAUUCUUUAAUCAAGUUUUCUUGAGUUUUGGAGAAUUUGAAGUGGAAAUAGUAUGCUAACUGAUCAUAACCUAACGUAUCAAAUUUGUCAAUCAUGUACUGAGUUAACAUUUUUAGCUUGUUUAGAUGCUAAAUGAUGUUGCCAAAUAGUUGCUAAGUCCUCUCCUUGUUCUUCUGCUUUAUUCGAUACUUGGCUAGCUUCAUUGCAUAUACCCUGCUCCUCUCUUUCUAUUUUUACAGGUGUUAACAAAUUGAUUUUUGCAGAUGAAAGAACUUGAUGGAUAUCUUCCUUCUAAACUAGAAGACUUGUUACACAAGGAUGUGGAUAAUGUAACUGGUGUAAAGUUGGCGGGAAGGAGCUUGGAUUCUGAAUCUCUCCCCAUUAGUGACAAGCCUUCUGGGGUAUCAACUGAUAUUCAAGAAGCAGAGGUAAUUUUCAGUUUGAUUCAUCUUAUUUUGUUGCUCAAAGCGUAAUUUUUUCCUCUUUUAUGGGCUGAUUUUGAAUGAAAACCAUUUGUUGUUUUUACUGAGCAACUCUGUAAAAUUUAGUCUAAUUUUUUCCAUUGUUUUAGCCUCAUGAAGCUGAGUUGGCGGAGGCAAAUGGUUUGAACAGUCAACGGAAAAAGGAAUCAAAACGCAAACGCCAGGUAAAUGGUGUAUGUAUCUAAGCACACCUCUGUUUUGCUUAUCAACCAUCAGCAGGUGUGUCCACUGUCACUGUUACAAUACGAAUCAAGUGUCACCAGACUAGUGCCAGUGUCAUUGUCAUUUUUAUUUCUAGCAACUCUUUCAUCCAUGUUCCUAUCUGUUGCAAGAUCACCAGAUCUAUUCUUUUGUUACCAGUAAGAUGUAGAUCAAAUUAACUAACGUUAAAGAAUUAUGGCAGGAUGAUCAAGUUGGUAUCCAAAGCAUGGAAAUGUUAAAAGUGAGAGCUUCCCUUGAGGAAAAAUUGAAGCAGACAGGUGUCUUAAAUUCCAUUGCACGGAAAAAUGAAAAACAAAACAAGCGCUCACGACUACUGAAUGGGUAUCAAUUUGCUUCGCAAUUUAUUGCUCCACCUACCUCUUCUGUUAGUCUACAUAGCUUAAUGCAAACAUGAAAUCACUGAUGGGAAGUGCAAUGAAUUAUAUGCAGGAUGUUGGCAACUCCUGAUGAUUUUGAUGAUGAUGCCAUGGGUGCUGAAGAUGAUCGUGAGACACGGAGUUUAAACAAGCUGUCUAGGCUUCUAACUUCUCAAGUAGCAAAACCCAAGGUGUGGAUCACAAAUGCUUUAAUUCUGUCUUCAUUUUGUUGAUUUUCUUGUAAAUAAAUGUCUUUUAUUUGAGUGUAUGCAACUGCAUUGAGAUUGAUUCUCUGAACUUGUGGAAUUUGACAGUCUUUUCAACUUCUGUCUCUGUGGAUGGCUCUCUUCCGUUAUAGAGUUGCCUCCUUUUCCUUUAUUGGUGGUCACUCUAAUUGUUUUCCCUUACUCCUCCUUGCUUCUCUUAUAGCAAUUCCCAAGUAUUUGGAAAAAAAAAAAGGAAACCUUCUUUGACCUUGAUAUUUAUUAAUGGCCAAUUGAUAUGUGACGGAGCGAGUAUAUCUUUGCACAUAUUUCCAGGAAGUUGCAUCUUUAGAUGUUGCGAUUGAAUGAGGUUGUAAUUUGUGUUAUUUGAGUCGUAUUUUAGCACCAUUUUGACUGGAUGCUAUUGUUAAGUUUUUAGCUCCAGUGUGCUUAUCAGAGUGACUACAACUGUGUUUCUACUGUUUGAUGUCACAGUUUUCUAAUUUGUGGCAAUUAGGAUUAUUUUGAAGCCUUCACGUUGGCACAUGUUGUGUUUAGCUGCUCUUCAUUUUCGGGUUCCAAAAAUCUCUCUUCUUUUCUUUUUUUUUGGAUAAAGUAAGGUAUCACUGAUAAUAACAAGGCCUACUUGGCUGUAUACACGAGAUAUACCAAAAACGUAGAAACCUACAAAUAUGGUUCUCUACAAAAGACACGCAAUCCUCUAUACAAACAAGAACGUGGGUGCACCAAAAGACAAUGAGGGAUAGGAGACUACUUCUCAAUUUAGCAAAGCUCAUCCGCACCCCUUCAAAAGCUCUCCUAUUUCACUCUUUCCAAAUGCUUAGAGCUAGAGGAAUAACAUUCCACGCCUUGUGCCUUUUUUCUCCUAGCUCCUCUCUUCCAGCUGACAUCAACUCCUUCACGGAUCUUGGCAUCCCAUAACCUCGUGGCUAAUUUACAAUGUUACAGAAUACGAUCCAUGUCCUCACCAUCCUUACAAAAGAAACACCAGCUCUAGACAACCUUUCGCUUUCUAAGGUUCUUUGCCGUCAAAAUCACCCCUCACAAAUAUCUGUAUUACGAGAUCAAAGUAAUACAGUGUGGUUGAAUAAUUAUGCAAGCCGUUACUACUGACAAUAUUAAGGUACUGCAAAUUUUGUUUUGUUACACACACUUCUCCUUUCCUGUUUCCUCGGUAUUAUAUUCAUAUAUGUGUGUACAUAUAUUCGCUUUUUUGCUUUAUCAAAAAAAUAGAUAUAUGGAUACUAGGGGCCAUUAAAGGGGGAAGCACUCCGUACUAGGAAUUUCUUCAUUCCCAAAGCUCGAACUUGACGACUACAUGUGUGUAUUUUGCUUCUGUUAAAGUGGACUUCUGUUAGUUAUUUUUCUUGCAUGGAAUCUUUUUCUGCUUUCAAAAUUCGUCUAGUAUGUGUCCUGUGAUUUAACCUAAUUAGAUGUAUUAUAAUAAGUUUUGUUCCUUUUGGAAGAUAAUUUCUGGUGAUGAUGAUUUACCUAAACGAGAUGACAUUGGAGAAAGGAGAAGAAAGCAUGAACUGAGAGUUCUAGCCGGAGCCGGAGUUGAACCUACUGAUGAUGUCAACGAUGAGCCUGGUGACCAUGCAAGCAAUGAUGUUGCUACUUCUGACGACAGUGAAAUGGACUCAGAUAUGGAAUUCUACAGAGAAGCCGAAAAACAACAUUCAGCUAAGCUUGCUGCUAAAGAAAAGAUGUAUUCCAGGUUAGACUCAAUAUUGUUUUAAGAUUGUUAAAGCAAGCAUGCUAAACUACUUUUCAUGUGAAAGAUUUCGAGGAUGCCUCGUCAAUAUGGAUUAUUAUGUGUGUCCUUUUAAGUCCUGCAAUUGUUUCACUUAAUUCACCACAAUUUGCCACUGUAGAUCCCCAGCUAUGCUGUCAACGCCAGAAACUGUUGUGGAUGGGAAGCGCCAGAUAAAUUACCAGGUAUGACAUAUCAGCUUUGCUGCCUAUUGCAAUCAUGACAUUCCUUUUUCUUUCACUAAACUUGGCGUCUCCUUAUUUUCUAGAUGGAGAAAAACAGAGGCCUUACUCGUAAUCGUAAGAAGCAAGAUAAAAAUCCAAGGAAGAAAUACAGGGUAAGUAGCUAAAACAGAAUUACUUGUGCUUGAAGAACCAGUUCCCUUAUAUAACAAUGUUGACAAACUGUGUCUUCUUCUCUCUCUCUCAGGGGAAACAUGAAAAGGCUCAGAAACGUAGGGAAGGACAAGUUCAAAAAAUUAAGAAACCAAGUGGUCCUUAUGGUGGAGAAACUACAGGAAUUAACGUUGGUAUUAGUCGAAGUAUCCGAUUUAAGGGAUAGAAGUCACGUGAUGUGUGGUUUAGGCACACGUCUCAAAGUUCAAGUGCUUCAUUAGACAAAAGCUUAGUAUUUAAGUGGAGAAUGGUAAAGUUGUGUACCCGUUAUUCACCGAGUUCUAAACCUUGCAUCACACUGGCCCUCUGGAAUUUCUCGGUUAUGAGUAAAAAGUGUAAGAGUUGAUACUCUCUUUUCCAAUUUUGUCACCCUUGGAAGGGGAGGAGUGGAAAGUCUAUGUUGUAUUGGUCUCAACUUGCAUAGUUUUGUAAUGGCUAGCUUAUAAUUUUCUUGUUUUCACUUUCUAUUUAGAUUUUAUAAAGCAAUGAUUGCAAUUAAAUUGAUUUCGAAUAAGGGAUAUGUUGGUCUAAGUUGGUUUGAAUAUCACGGUUAUAAAAAAAAGAGCAAGAGUUGG